UGAGAAAAGCACGCCAUGUACCGAGCCAGGAGCAUCGUAAUUUUCCCCGCUGUGCAAGCCCCGCGUUGUAAAUUAUGUCGCAUUGCAUUCUUGUAAAUGAGCCUUUCCCUUCUCCCCUUCCAUUUUGUCCAGCAGAUAGCAUUGUGAUGUGCUAGAGAGUACCGUUGUACCUUUUGAGACAUUAUCUCUGGAAGUAAAAUCUACCUAAACUUUGGCUGGUCACCUGGCAUGGAUUGCGAUUUGCGACAGUGGAUGAUAUGAACCGAACUGGUAUGGCUGUCGAUUCUCGGGAUCAUACAGUGCAGCAAUCAGGUUUAUGCCUCUAAAUUUUCAGUGAGCAUAUUGAAGUAUAACUAAAAACCGAUAAAAUUUGCUAAAUGUAUUAGGUACAUCCGUAUCUAGACAAAUCUAAGACAAGAAUUUUGGGAUGGAGGGAGUAUGUCACAAGUCACUGAUAUUUGAUAUGAUACAUGUGGAACCAGCUCCUCAGAAUAUAUUACUCAACCAGUGUAGUGUGUCAAUCUUAGACUGACAGUGUAACUGGUGAGAAACAUGGCGAGCCCAGAGUUUGCACUACCAAAUAGCUCAAAGCUAUCGUCGCUAGUCUGUAGAGUAAUUGCAGAUUGAAGAAUUAACACAGAUUGUUGAAUAAGUUACAAUGGCCCGUCGCUAGUCUGUAGAGUAAUUGUAGAUUGAAGAGUUAACACAGAUUGUUGAAUAAGUUACAAUGGCCCAUUGAUCGGCCAAUAUUCUUGUAAGAUGAAGUUGCAAUGCAAUGGAGCACACAUUGUCAGCGACCCAAUUACGGCCACAGCAGCCCAUGGGCCGGGCCUGGUUGAGUGCCACAUGAAGGGAGGCCUGACUACAAGUAUCCACGUAGGAAGCAGCGAAGAGGCAUCCGGGCUUGGAUCAGGCAAAGGCAACGGCGGCUCUCUCCUUACCCUUAUCUUCUCCUACCUGCUGUUCUUCCUCCUCCCUCCUUCCCCAAAUCCAUGUAUCUGAACUCGAAUCAUCUGUAAUGGAGUAAUUCGCGUGCGGAACCUAACAUCGUGGCAUCAGAGCCUUCUCACCACCCUUCCAAAAUUCGUUCAAAAUUUUGCCCAAUUUUUUUUCCCUCGCACCAUUCUCUCCACCACCAUGCAUCCCGAGUUGAAAGCUUGCCUUGACGAGUUCAAGGCGAAGGCUCAGGCACGCUUCGAGGCCAGUGCCAGGCUGUUCGCGCAGCACGACGAGCUGCUCUCCAAGCUCCUCACGGGAGCUUCGACCCCGCAGCCGGCGCGCUCUGCGGUCAUGGCCUCCAAUGGCGACCUCACUGUCAACGCCACUGUCGUGGCGGUCGUCCCCGACACCUCUUCCUUUGCCACCAAGGCCCAAGAGGUCAUCGCGCCCCCCUAUGGCGCGUUCCUGGACUCCAUCGAUCUGAUGCCCAUGACCUGUUCGAUGGCUGGCUCGACCCAAGUCGCCUGUGCUGCGAACGCCAACGAGGUCCACAACGUCACCACAUCCGUCCGCCUCGAGCCUUUGGUCGCCCACAUCCACCAGGAGGUCGACGCCGAGAUCGUCACCCCGGUGGCAACCACCACCGAUGUCUUCUCCGCCACUACCCAAGCCCAAGAGCCCCCCACGUCCGCCAAUGAUUCAUCCCCAGUUUCCAUUGAGAUGAUGGCCGUCACCUGCUCGACGGAGUGCUUGACCCAAGAAGUAGAGCAACUCAUGCCGGAGUCUUCUAUCAGCACCAACACCGCUACUUCCGAGGUUCUGUCCUCUGCGCCCGUCACCUCCGACAUCAUCCCAAGUGUUGCCACGGCAGCCAAUCCAGUGUCGACGAAGUGCUUGGCAGAAACCCAUGUCUACGCAAAUGACUCUGUGCAGCUUCUGAUCGCCGCCAUCGACAGUGCCGACGAGACACAUGCCACUGCCACCACUGAGAGCUUUGAACAUCAACCAUGGCCACCGCCUGUAGAAGUGCAGACCAGUCACAUGGGACAACUUUUCAGGCCUAGCCCGUGGCCGUCGUUCAGACCUCUAUCAGUCACAAGCUACCCGGAAGAGACAUGUUCAAGUAUCCACAGUCAAUCACAUAGAGGUUCCUGCUUUAGUCCUUGGUUAGUUUGGUUGAUGUUCAGAGAUGUUCACCUGGAGAAGCAUGGUAAUGGAACUGAUACAAUCAUGCCGUGCACCAGUGGAAUUCAACAUAAUGUGCCUGAACGUUUAAGUGAAAUUGCAAGGAGAUGUUCGGUUGAUGUUCAGAUAUGUUCGCCGGGAGAUGGUCUAGCAAUCGCAAGGGAGUCCGAUGUUCCUAUGAAAAUCAGAAAAAUGGAUAAAGGCUCCGUGGGUUCAAGUGUGGCUGUAGAUGUAAUCUCUCUUACAAGAUGUGCAACAUGCAAAUAUCAAUUUUCAAGAGAUUCAAGCAUGACUGAUUUUCCGGCUGGAUCAGAAGUUGAAAACGAAGAUGAAUAUUAUGAAUGGAAUACAACUCCUGGAUUGGUUGGGUGUGAAGCUAGCUUAAACCUCCAGAGUAUAGACGAAUGCUCAGCAGACACUGACAGCGAAACUGAUAAACAUCUGACAGUUGCGAGUUUCUUGGUGAUUUGAACCCCUCAUCUCUUCAGAAGUACUCCCUACUUAUGUCUGAACUAGAAUCCCAAUUUGCAUAUUCCAGAAAGGUGGACAACUUAUUCAAAAAUGGUGUUCUGCUGCUAGUUGAUAACUCUUGCUUGGUAAAUUCAGUAUGCUUUGUACCUGGUCAUCAGAAUGAUCUUGCUGUUACUAAUGUCGAUGGCAUGCUCAAGUCGACUGCUGAAGAUAACUGCAGUACACGCAUUUUAAUACAGGGAAAUGCAUUGCGUUUUCCCUGUGAGGCUAGACCUGAACAGCAUGAGGACAUAUGCAACAGGGAGAGUGCCGCUGGAGUUUCUACAAAUUUGCAAGUGCAAGAGCAUGCUGCCAUAUGCAACUUUCCUACAUCCGACCAUCAGUCAAGGAUGAAAGAAAACUGCAAGAAAUGCUACCUUAUACUCCAUUGCAGAAUUUUCUGGUCUCUUCAGUGGAGCAGUAAACCAUGGUCUUCUGGACAUCUUGAAUCUUAUCUGAAUUCUUACUCAAUCAGCGUCACUCUGAAUUGCAACUAUGGGCAUUUGUAUGUGCAGCUUGAGAAGUUACGGGCCACUGGAAUUGAGGGAGAGAUAUUUGGUCAAAACUGUACUUCCUGCUGCGUCUGGGAUCUUUGAGCCGAGCCAAGGAAUUCAAAGGAUAGUUCUGCACAGUUUCACAAAGUCCAGUCUAGGUGCAACCUCAAAUGGCCCAUUCCAGCAGCUCCAUUCACAAAUGUGCAUCAACUACUUGGAUAUAUGAGUUCGCUUUGCUUUGGUUUUAUUCAAGGAGUUUCCUGUGAUUAUGGUUCUUCUACUUCUGCUUGUACUCUCUACAUUGGUGAUCAAUCCCCGGUGGCCUUCAUUCCAUCCGCAAGAACUGCUCCUUAUGUUGUGUGGUCUACAAGAUAUAUGCAGAUCGUCUUUGAAGGAUCACAUGAGGGUCUAAUUCUUCAUACAGAAUUCAGAAGCUAUAUGCGAACUAAUUCAGAGUCUCUGCACCUCAUUGGAGUUCUUGGGGAAUUGACUCAAUCUUGGAGCUUUACUGAUCAUGUCAGUACCUUGUCAAGCUAUUGGUGGUGUUUCUCUUGGGGACCAGAUUGGGAUCCAGGAGGACCGCUCUUGGAUGUUUCAUCCCCAAUUUCAACUAGUAUGCACACUCCAUCUCCAGAAGAAAGCAUGGAAUGCACGGGCUCAAAAUGGUUACCACCAAAGGGGACUGCCACUGGUAUGGAACAAGAUGAAAAUAAUAUUGGUAUCCACCUCAACCUCGUUCAAGUACACCUUGACAAUGGCUACUUCCGCGACAAAUACCACGAAAAAUCUGACAUGAUCAAGGAUCUUCAAGCACCCUGGGACCCUGGUGAGCCCUGCGUGAAAGCGGCUUGGGGUCAAGCCGAAUCUCAAGGGGUAGGGGAUGUCAGCGACCCAAUUACGGCCACAGCAGCCCAUGGGCCGGGCCUGGUUGAGUGCCACAUGAAGGGAGGCCUGACUACAAGUAUCCACGUAGGAAGCAGCGAAGAGGCAUCUGGGCUUGAAUCAGGCAAAGGCAACGGCGGCUCUCUCCUUACCCUUAUCUUCUCCUACCUGAUGUUCUUCCUCCUCCCUCCUUCCCCAAAUCCAUGUAUCUGAACUCGAAUCAUCUGUAAUGGAGUAAUUCGCGUGCGGAACCUAACACACAUUCUUUUGUAUCGUUGCACGUCAUUCAGGGAUACUUCUUCGAAGGAUUGUGGCCAAUAUUCUUGUAAGAUGAAGUUGCAACGCAAUGGAGCACACAUUCUUGUGGAUCGUUGCACGUCAUUCAGGGAUACUUCUUCGAAGGAUUGUUUACUGGAACUCAUGGUGGUGUCGUUUGCUUCCUCUUUGCUUUAGCUGUAUAUAAAUAAUUAGAUAUUGAUCUAUAUACAUGGAUGUAUUUUGUAUGUAAGCUGACUAUUCAUGUGUGAGUUUACAAAACUGUGUGCCAAAUUGGAAGAAAGUUAUCUCUUUCAUUCAAGUCAGUUCGGGCAGAGUAUAAACCUUGUAGCAUUUUUGCUUAGCAAUGCUAUCCACAAAGAAACAGAAUGAAAAGACGACUAAUAUCCCAGAAUCAAGAAGAACGUGCAUGUGCUCCGUUGGGGGUUGCUGAACCUUAUGCCAACCAGGCGCCACAGAAGACAUGGCAGAACACCCAUCCAACAGAACGGUGAAGGAACGGAUGAGACAUAUAGCAAAUCCGCAGGCGAACCGCAUAUCCAAAUAUUCAGAUCUUUAACCUGUAUCAAAAUAAGAAAUUUGAAUGAAAUAUUCUGUCUAAAACAUAUUUUAAGAUAGCCCAUUCAUCAAGCAGUUAGGCAUGUGUAUUAAAAUGAAUCGAGCAAAAUUAGCAUUGUUUUGUAUCACUCAUUAUGUAUAAAGGUUUUUUCCUUGCAUGAAGCAUAAUAUUUACUGUAGUCAAGCAUGCCUAAAGGAUGAAAAAACUUAAACCUAUUGGAUGUCAGACCGAAGACAUGCGCUUCCAGCCACUCAUUCCUCUGCCAACGUCGUUAAAUUUCUACAAAAACAAAGUUCCCAGCUAAACCAGUUAAGGAUGACAAUUUUCAUUUUUUCGGCGCAUUACUAACGAAUUCAUCAUAUAUACACUUCGCUAGAAAAGAGACAUAUGUAAGAGACAAAGGCGCAUUACUAUAUUUUAUAUAAAGCAUUACUAAGGAUGUAGAACAAGCUAUUCUACACUCACACUUGCUUUAGCAUUAUUAUAUUGUAAUUGUUUCACAGAAAUAGUCAUAGUAUAUCCAUCGUUGCUUGCCUCUUGCUUGAAUACCGUAGUGUAUAUUUGCCUACGAUCUAUAUGCAAUAUCUGUAGUACGCCUAGGAUAAAAAUUGAUGUUGAUAUGCAACAUUUUCCUCAGAAUUAAAUAAUCACAAAGUGAUCAACCAUUUUGAUACUGAAAUUAUUGUUAUUAAGGCCCUGUUUGGUUCAUAAGUCCUAAGACUUUUUCUAGUCUCAACUAAAAAGCCCUAGUCCCUAAAAAGUCCCUCCCUGUUUGUUUUCAGGGACUAAAAAGUCCCUAGUCCCUCCCUAGAGAUUAUUAAAUGACCAUGUUACCCCUAGUAUACAGAAAAAUAACAACCAAACAACACCAUGGGGCAGCGUGCCAAUGGGUGCAUGAAGGGGCAUUGUUGGAAAAGUCCCAAAAAGUCCCAAAAACACUCUCCUUGAGAGUCUUUUUCAUUUAGUCCCAAAAAGCAACUUUUAGUCCCUAAUAGUCCCUCCUGUUUGGUUAAAAAGUCUCCAAGAGGGACUUUUUCUAGUCCCUACACCAAAAAGUCCCUGGAAACAAACACCCCCUAAGAUCUGAACAAAUAGCAUGCUGAUAUACCUAUGUAUGCGGCAACUUGAUAUGGGGAGUGCAUCUAACCUUAGCAUAUGACCAAGGGGUGAAUAGUAAUGCACACAAUGCUCAAGAAGUUCAGAAAUUCAAGUAUUAAAUAUCAGCGGCAUGCCCACUUUCAGAACAAACUUAUCUUAGCUGGCAUGCCUCCGAUCUUCUUAUGUACUUACAGUGCAAUCCUUGUAAAUAAUAGAUGGAAGAGAUAGCUAAUAAUAGACAAACGAGGACUCCUUGGCCAAGGCUAUGCGGCGCAAAGCAGCGCAGAACCUCGACAACCAAGGUAUUACGUCAUCACCCAAAUCUUAUUUAGCCUUUUUCAAUACAACCAUCGUUUCUAAGUUGAAUAAUAUGGGUGUUAGUCUCGGAAAGAAUGAGAAGGAUAUUUCUAGUUCGACUAAUGUUUUGAAACAUUUGGAAUAUGACCAUUUAAAAGUUACUCCACGUGUUUCUAGCAAGUCUUAUGCCUCCUUACUAAUGAGGAGGAGCUGCAUGCCACAUCAGAAGGUCAGCUACUCUCUCAUUUAGUAGGAGCGGUUUCGGACGUGGGCCUAGAUCAACACGGGCUUAGCUCAUUGAUUGAGCUUGCAACAUCUGGACGUAAAUCAGAGACCGCACAUUCAAAAAAAGAUAAUAAGUCCCAUAAGAGGGCGAAAUGUUCUAAAUCUCCUAUUGUUUCCUCAUGAAUGGAAUGUUUUUUAAUAGAAGAGGUCUUGGUGACUUGGCUAAACAUUUAUUCAUUGCGGAAUGUAAUAGGGAAUACAAUUUAUAUUUUCUGGCUAUCUCUGAAACGGGGAGACGGUAAGUCUGCUUAAUCGUCUUUCUGGCGGGAUAGACUUCACUUGGGUUUCACGACCGCCUAGAGGUUCUUCUGGGGGCAUUUUACUUGGUGUAAAUGCAAGGACUAUGGAUGUUUUGUCUAGUUCGGAUGGUGAGUUUCAUGUUAAGCUAUAUAUUCGCAACAAAGCCGACAACUUCACAUGGACCCUCGUCGCCGUGUAUGGGGCAGACCAGGACGAGUUCAAGGCUGAUCUUCUCCGUGAAUUGGUUAAUCUGGCGAAAGAUAAUCCCUACCCCAUUCUUAUAGGUGGGGAUUUCAAUUUUCUUAGAUUUCCAAAUGAGAAAAGCCCCGGUAGGUUUGAUAAUCAUUGGCCUUUCCUUUUCAAUGUUGUCAUCGACAGUCUAGAUUUGCGAGAGGUUUCCAUGAUUGGAAGACAAUUCACUUGCGCGAACAGUCUUACGAAACCAACAUAUGAGAAACUAGAUCACGUUUUAAUGGAUACCGACUAGGAAUCUAAAAUUCCUAUGGUGUCUGUUCAUGCUCUACCUCGUAUUGAGGCUAUAUCAGACCACACACCCAUUCUCCUAACUACUGGUUUGCCACGACCACAACAUAGACACAAGUUCAAAAUCAAACUUGGCUAGUUUCUUCGAGAUGGUUUCCAUGACAUGGUCAAGGAGGUGUGGGAGAAACCGGUGGACGGGCAUACCCCAAUUCACAAAUGGAAUAACAAAAUGCAUGCAUUAUGCAAAUUCCUUGGUGGUUGGGCUAGGCAUACAGUGGGUAUCCUAAAAAAGGAGAAGCUUCGUCUUUCAUCUAUCAUUGAUGAAUUAGAAGCUUUGGCGGAGGUCAGACCUCUAUCUGAGCAUGAAAUCGAGAUCAAGAGUCAUUCGAAUGUACAGAUAGCUAGCAUGCUGCGCGCGGAGGAACUCAAAUGGUACCAACAUAGUAGCUCUCAAUUUAUCCUGAAAGGUUAUUGGAAUACUAGAUAUUUCCAUGGAGCCGCCAAUGGCAGACACCGGAAGAAAAUUAUUCAUUUCCUACAACAGGAUGAUGGCAUGAUUGAGGGGCAUGAGCAACUUAAAUCUUAUAUCACUAUUUUUUAUAAAAAAUUGUUCGGAGCCCUAGGAGAAGGAAACUUCUCAAUGGAUGAGUCCCGAACAGAUCACAUCCCUCAGGUCUCUGAUGUGGAAAAUAGCCUUCUAACAGCCCCAUACUUUGAGGAGGAAGUUAGAAAGGCAGUUUUCCUAAUGGAGCACAACAAAGCCCCGGGUUCGGAUGGUUUUCCCGCUGAGUUCUAUCAGAACUUCUGGGAAGUCAUCAAGCCGGAUCUCCUACUUUUGUUUAGCGACCUACAUGUUGGCCAUCUAGAAUUGUUUCGUUUAAACUUCGAUGAGAUUAUUUUAUUACCUAAGGUUAAUGAGGCUGAAAGGAUAAAACAAUAUAGACCUAUUUGCCUCCUUAGUGUUAGUUUUAAAAUAUUCACGAAGGCUGCGACUAUUAGGCUAAAUUCGGUUGCUGAACACGUGGUUCGUCCUUCACAGGCUGAUUUUAUGCAAGGAAGAAACAUCCUAGAUGGAGUUGUUAUCCUUCAUGAGACAGUCCAUGAAUUACAUCAGAAAAAGUUGAAUGGGGUGGUACUCAAAAUAGACUUUGAAAAACCUUAUGACAAGGUCAAAUGGUCAUUUCUUCAACAGACUCUCAGAAUGAAAGGAUUUUCUGCAGAGUGGCGUGCUAUGAUCCAUAGCUUCGUUUCUAGAGGUAGUGUUGCCAUUAAGAUCAAUGAUGGCGUUGGACAAUAUUUUCAAACGAAGAAGGGAUUGCGACAAGGUGACUCAAUAUCGCCCAUGCUAUUCAAUAUAGUGGCGGAUAUGCUAGUGGUCGUGAUUGAGCGUGCCAAGGUUGAUGGCCAAAUUGAUGGGGUAGUAAGUCAUCUACUUGAUGGUGGUCUCUCUAUACUUCAAUAUGCCGACAAUACAAUUCUCUUCAUGGAUCAUGACCUUGAGAAAGCGAGAAAUCUGAAAUUAAUUUUAUCAGCAUUCGAGCAACUCUCAGGUCUGAUGAUCAACUUUCAUAAAAGUGAAUUGUUUUGUUUUGGGGAGGCUUGAGAACAGGCCCACCUGUACACUGAACUGUUCGGAUGUGGGUUGGGCCACUUUUCGAUCACAUAUUUGGGGAUACUGGUACAUUAUCGGAGACUCACAAAUGCUGAAUGGAAACACGUCGAGGAGAGAUUACAAAAAAGACUUAGCAGUUAGAAAGGUAAACUAGUGUCUCUGGGUGGAAGAUUGGUUCUCAUAAACUAAGUACAAAGUAACAUGGUACUAUAUAUGAUUUCCUUCUUCCAGUUGCCGAAAGGAGUUUUACAUAGAUUAGGAUAUUUCCGAUGAAGAUUCUUUUGGCAAGGAGAUAGCGAGCAAAAGAAAUAUCGACUGGCUAAAUGGAGUGUGGUUUGCCAUCCCAAAGACCAAGGCGGGUUGGGCAUUUAUGACCUUGAGGUUAAGAAUAGGGCCCUCCUCGGCAAAUGGUUGUUUAAAUGACUGACGGAAGAUGGUGUAUAGCAAAUCCUCCCGAGGAGGAAAUAUGUGGGCUCCAAGGCUGUAUCCCAAGUAUAUUGGAAGCCCGGGGAUUCUCAUUUUUGGGCGGGUCUAAUGGCUAUGAAGAAAUAUUUAUUCUCCUAUGGAUCCUUCUCGAUUAAGGAUGGCUCGAACAUUAGAUUCUAGGAGGACAAGUGGCUAGGAAAUGCCACACUCCGGGAACAAUAUCCGGCUCUAUACAACAUUGUGUGUCACAAGGGUGAUACUAUUGGCACGGUAAUUGAAUCAUUUCCGCCAAAUGUGACGUUCAGAAGAGAUUUAGUUAGACCUAGACUCCAAUCGUGGUACAUCCUGCUCCAACGGUUGUCCAUGGUGCAAUUGUCACAUGGGUCUGAUGUAUUUCAAUGGAACCUACAAGGGAAUGGACAAUUCUCAGUGGAGUCUAUGUAUAGAGCGCUAAUCCAGUCUGAUGUGCCAGUUGAUAACAACAAGAAGACUGGAAGAUGAAGAUACCUCUUGAAAGGAUCAAUAUAGUUGACUAGAGGGGGGGGGGUGAAUAGGCAACUAACAAUUUUUAGCUUUUCUUUACCAAAUUAAACUUAGCAUCAAAAUAGGUUGUCUAGAUAUGAAACUAGGUGAGCAACCUAUAUGAUGCAACAACAACAAGCACACAAGCAAGCAAGGUAUACAACACAAUAUAAGCUUGCACAAGUGAAGGUAAGAGAUAACCAAAAGUGGAGCCGGUGGAGAUGAGGAUGUCUUACCGAAGUUCCUUCCCUUUGAGAGGAAGUACGUCUCCGUUGGAGCGGUGUGGAUGCACAAUGCUCCCCAAGAAGCCACUAGGGCCACUGUAUUCUCCUCACGCCCUCACAUGAUGCGAGAUGCCGUGAUGCCACUAUUGGUGCCCUUGGAGGCGGCGACCAAACCUUUACAAACAAGGUUGGGGCAAUCUCCACAACUUAAUCAGAGGCUCCCAACGACACCACGAAGCUCCACCACAAUGGAAUAUGGCUUCGCGGUGACCUCAACCGUCUAGGGUGCUCAAACACCCAAGAGUAACAAGAUCCGCAAGGGAUUAGUGGGGGGAAUCAAAUUUUUCUUGGUGGAAGUGUAGAUCAGGGUCUUCUCAACCAAUCCCUAGAAAAUCCACAAGUUUGAUUGGCUAGGGAGAGGGAUCGGGCGAAAAUGGAGCUUUGAGAAACAAUAGAGCUUGGGGAGGGAAGAGGUAGUUCUCUUUGGAGAAGAAGACCUCUUUUAUAGGGGGGAACUUAUCCAACCGUUACCCCCCCCCUUUCAGCCCGCACGGAGCGGUACUGCCGCUCAAUGGAGCGGUACUACUGCUAGUGGCAGUGGUACCACCGCGACCCCCAGCGGUACUACCGCGGAGACUGGGAGCAGAGGCAACAGAAGAGGGAGAGAGGGUUGGGGCAGCACUAGAAGCGGUGGUAGCCACCUCCCACGAGCGGUACUACCACUGCUACUACCGCUACUACUUCUGCACAACCCGACACGAGAGAGACACCCUCGAAUCGAGGCGGUAGCGGUGCCAAACCAGGACAGUACUGCUACCGAUGUACCUGAGCGGUACUACCACUGUUGGACACUGGUACUGCCGCUUGAGGAACAUAGGCGGCACUACCACUAGGGCGGCGGUACUACCGCUUGCACCUCACAAUCCCUACUUCAGUUGAAACAGAAAACUCCAAGGAGAGGAAAUGAGCUGGGGGUGCAAAAAGGAAGUGUACGUGUUGAUUCCACCCUAGCCUUUUCAAUGCGGACCCCCUCUUGAUAGUACUGUGUCUCCUACAACUCAAGUCAACCAAAACCGAAACGAAGGAGACUACACCGUCUUCACUUGAAACUCCGAGGGGAAAGAAUCGUCUCGUGCCAAUGAAUGAAUCUCUGAAAUACUCAACGCACAUGAUUAGACCGCAAAAGCAUUGUCAUCAAUCACCAAAACUACUUAGAGAGAGACAUGCCCUAACAAUCUCCCCCUUUUUGGUGGAUUGAUGACAACACGGGAUUUGCACAAAGGAAUGAGAUGAUAAUAAGUGAAUCCCAGAGACUACAAAAUAUAGACGGGCUUCCCCUAAAUGUGUGCACUUAAUUGGAGGUGCCUUUGGAAUGCAAAGUACACACAUUAGGAUCAACACCCCCCCUAUAUUUUAUAGUCAAACAACAUUUGCAUCAAAGAUGAGACAUAUAUAGCUAGGAUGCAAUAGAGUAGCAAGUGAGCAUAGUAGACAUAUGAGAUAAGCAUGAACUCACAAACUACUAAAGUACACGACAUACAAAGAUAAUAAUAGGAUAGGGUAGCAUAUGUCUCAUACCAUAUGAUAGGGUACUGGGUCUCACGAACACAAACCAAAUCAAAGCAAACGACGAGAAAAGAGUUUGCGAGAGAGAGAGAAAGACAAGGCAAAUAAGACACACUCGCAACUCGCAACACGACAAAUCCCUAAACUCUCCCCCCUUUGGCAUCGACACACCAAAAGGGAAAAGAAUGCUGCUACAGCCACAUGUGAUAGCACAACUGACAACCUCCAUCAUCACAUACCCGCGUGAUCGUCCGCUCCUCCGUCAUCGGCAGGGGGCUGCUUGAUGUCUGAGUGUGUCCACGUGCAAUGCUGCUUAACCCACUCCUCCUCAUCGGUGAUCUUGCCCUCAGAUCCGCUGGCAACUGUUGCACCUAACUAACGCAUGAGCUCCUUGUGACGGCUCCUGGCCUUCUUCUCAGACACAUGAGCCAUAUACUAACCAUGCAGAAAAGUUUCCUCAUCUUGCGCUUGAGCUUCUUUGCCCAUGAGGGCUCCGCUCCAGAGGGCUCAUAGUCCUCCUCCUCCUCCUCAUCAGCCUCUGUCUCAACCUCGUUAGCUUCAUACAGAAUCCCAAACUUUGGAACUGAAGUGCCCUAGUUCUCCUUCCUCAGACGGUUAAUCUCAUGAGGGAUCAACUCGCUAGUGUCCAACGCGACACCAGGAUAAGUGUGCUCCCAAGAUUUCUCAAUAAGCAACAUGAGAAAAGGAUCAUAGAUGGGGCACUUUCGCUCAGAGAUAGCCGUGACAAGCUCAGACCACAUGACAUGAGAGACAUCCAAGGAUUCUCCAAUGUUUUCUUCCUUCUCAUGCUGACAGAAAAGUAACAUGUCCACGAGAAGUGAGUGAACCAUAUCCAAGUUCCCAAUGCGAGGGAAAAGAGUCUCCCUAAAGAUGCAAUGAAGGAUGUCCAGAAAGGCAGGCAGCUCAUAGGUCUCCUUCUGCGUCUCAGGGUUAAUCUUCAACAUGCAGUAGGGCCAGAGAGAUUGCUUGUGAGUAGAAGUUGCAUUGCGGCGAGGACGAAAGCCAACCGGGUUCUCAGGCCCUUUAUCUUCAAUCCCAAGUAACUCCAUGAAUGCCUUCCAUUUGAUAGAGAGAAGCUUGCCAUUUGUCAUCCAAGUCAUAGUUCUUUCCUCAUUUGUCCCAAGAUGGACGAUGGCAUAAAACCGAGCCACCAAAUCCGCAUCAAAGUCCUUGUUGAACUCCAUGAUCCUUAGAAUAUUCAACUGAGAACACAUCUGCAGAGAUUCGCCAAAGUAGGCAGGAUCCUUCUCCAUAUAGGCAAUGUCAAUGGAACAGACAUCAACAUAGAGAUUGUUCUUCGCUUUGAUCACAUCAAAAAAGAUUUCCCACUAAAAACGGUUCCAGAAAGGACGGUUGACAAUAUUGGUCUCUUGAUCUUGCUCAUAGGGAUUGCGCCGACGCUUCUCCCAGAACUCCUUGGCGGUCAUCUCAGUCACGGACUUGGGCUUCGGCUUGGGCUUCUUCACAGUACUCUUAGAAGGCUGCUGGGACUGAGUUGGCGGAACACUUGAAGAAGGAACACUCGAAGAAGCAGCUGCUGUCUAAGAGGUGCGAUAGCGCUUAGAAACUGAACGCUCGGGGUUGACACGUCGUACAAGACGCUCCGAAGGGCCAUCACCUGGAACCAAACACACGAACACGAGAAACAACACGAAAGAACGAGCAUAAGCCACCAACAGAAGCAACAUGGAUCAAUAGUUGGUACGGGUAUGGUAGAAGUUGACAUCCAGCGGUAGUACCGUGAUCAGGAGGCGGUAGUACCGUAUGAGUGGCAGUACCGCUCCAGGAGAGUGGUAGUACCGCUUCAGGCGGGGGACGAUGGUUCCCCUGCUGCCGCGGCCAAAUCCGGUACUACCAGGAUGCCACAUUCAAACAUAAGCCUACCAAACAUCAAUCAAAGCAGUCUAAUAGCUUUCACCAUCCUUCUCAAGCCUCGGUUUGGCCAAAACUCGAUGAAUGUAAAGCCUAUUGCCCCUAAAGUCUAGAUUUGAAAUCUAGAAGCAAAGAGAAAGGGAUCAGGGGCAAUACCAGCAUCCAUGGCAAGAUGAGAGGGUGGAGAUCGACUCCAUCGGAGGAAAUGAUGAAAAAUGGCGCGGAAAAAGCGGCCCGACAGCGACCUCCGGCGACGCGCUCAUCCUGGGAGCACGAACAGGACGAGUGGGUUGGGUCGAAUGGGUAUGGGGGAGAAGAGACUCCCCCUGCCCGACAUAACCCCCAAGUCCCGCCUCGCAUCGGUAGUACCGCUCUGGUGGGCGGUAGUGCUGCUUGAGACCAGUAGGCGGUAGUACCGCCCGACCAACGGUAGUGCUGCCCAAGCCAUGCCUCUACUAGACUCACAAACAAGGGGACAGCCAAGCCCGAAGAAAAACCACCAGAAAAGCCGAGAGGCAACAAGAAGAGCUAAACACAACCAAAAAGGCAGAAAAGCACCCACGGAGAGACCCAAACUACACUACAAACACAAAACAAAACAAAAGAUCACACAACUCUCAAGGAGAGGGCGGUGGCUGAAGCCACCUAUGUUUGAGUCAAUUGGUAUGGCACCGCGAAGAAAUAUCCUUGGGCCCAUGACCAAAACUCGUCUUUGAAGCACAAGUACCACAAAAAAUGGCGAAUGUGAAAGAGUUGAUCAAUUUAUGCGUAAUGGGGGAGGGAGAGUUCAUUGAGAGAACAACACUCCCCCUAUGUCUAUGCCUACAUCUAGACACGAUAUACUGAUGAGUGCGGUGGGGUGUGCCUAGAUUCAAGCCACAUUGCUCGAAUCAAUGAUAUUUAGCUCAUGCCUUAACUCGUGAAAUCUUGCUUCAUCCAAAGGCUUCGUGAAAAUAUAUGCAAGGUUACCAUGAGUGUUGACAUAGUUGAGCUCAGUCUCCCCUCGCCUAAUGCGAUCCCGGAUGAAAUGAUACUGAAUCUCAAUAUGCUUCGCCUUGAGGUGUUGCAUCAAGUUGAUAGAAAUCUUGAUGGCACUUUCAUUGUCACACCAAAGAGGCACUUUGUCACAAAUGACACCGUAAUCCUUUAAAGUUUGCCUCAUCCAUAGAAGUUGAGCACAACAACUACCGGCAGCCACAUACUCGGCCUCAGUGGAGGAGAGAGACACACAACUUUGCUUCUUCGAAGACCAACUCACCAAAGAGCAAUCAAGAAAUUGGCACCCUCCGGAAGUUGACUUCCUAUCCACUUUGUCUCGCGCCCAAUCCGAGUCCGAAAAGCCCACAAGGUUGAAGUUUGCUCCUCUUGGGUACCAUAAGCCAAAGUUUGGGGUAUGAGCCAAAUACCGAAAGAUUUGCUUGACCGCCACAUAGUGGCUUUCCUUAGGUGCGGCUUGAAACCGUGCACAAAUUCCCACACUCAGCAUGAUAUCCGGUCUGGAUGCACAAAGGUAAAUCAAGGAGCCAAUCAUAGAAUGAUAUACCUUUUGAUCCACCGCUUUACCAUUGGGAUCUAUGUCAAGUUGGCAUUUGACAGGCAUUGGAGUGGAAGCCGGCUUGACAUCACUUAGCUUGAAUCUCUUGAGCAUGUCUUGAGUGUAUUUGGCUUGGUUGAUGAAGGUACCUUCUCUUCUUUGUUUGAUUUUGAACCCGAGGAAGAACUUCAACUCUCCCAUCAUGGACAUCUUGAACUUUGAGGUCAUGAGAGCGGUAAACUCCUCAUUGAAAGCUAUAUUAGGAGAACUGAUAUUCACCGAACCUCGAUGGAGAGAUCCGAUCUGUUAUUGCGGCCCGAUCUUUCACGGUACUCCACCUUCAGAGUAGUAAUCUCUCGCCCGCGCACACGAUGUACACGAAGUAGAGGGUUUGAACCUUGCGGCUCAGCACGAGAGAAACAAUCUGGACGACAGCACCUCACGCACAAAACAAUUUCCUCACAGAAGUCGCAACAAAGAGGUUUUCUAAAGCUACCUCAAAAACUUGAUACGGGUGUCUACCCCUAAAAACACAUCUGUCUAUUUCAUAUCAAAAUAUAACCUGCAUUACAUGGGACGCAUAACUUGGCUUUAUAGUAGUAGCCGGCCUAGAAACAAAGUUAAACUCAGGUGGACUCUUACUUUUAUCCUAACUAACAAAGAAUUAACUAAUUAAAUAUUCGCCAACCUGAUAACAAACUAGACUCCUUAUUUUGGUCGUGGCGUCUCUUUCUUGUGCAAUAUGCGUGUAGGUGGACCCCACCCAACAGCCUUUAAACACAACAGAUCCCAUACAGAACACGUGUAAGACUGAUCCUUCUCUUUCCUUGGUAAAAAUAGAAAGAUAGAUAACAUCUUGAUCUCCUUCCGUUCAAACCAAUUCUCCUUCCUUUCAUCCCAAAAAAUAUGUGCGUGCAUUCCUUUGAAACAAAAAGAAUGCUUGACUGAUCUCCAUGCUGCAUUAGCACAUAAAUGAGGAGUAUUAUUUUUCCAUACCGCAUGUGAGGCCACGUCCUCAUGCUGAUUUGCAUCUAGCAAGUCUCUUCCAGAAUUUGCAUGCGCCACGUCCUUUUCUUUUCUUUCUUUCAUCCCAACAAGAUCUCUGCCGAUGCAAUAAUUAGCAUACCUAUUAGUUAUGACCAUAUCAUCCUCUCCCCCUUGAAGCAAAACUGUCCUCGGUUUCGGUUCGUUCUCUUCUGUAGUACUUUUAUUUACAGACGGAACAAUGUCCAUAAAAAUUUCAGCGGCUUCAACCUUCUUUGUGUUCACUUCUGAUGCAGCUUGAGCAAUAUCUCGCUUUCGACGAUCAGCCAUAUAGUUCUCUGAUGUGUACGACUCAAGUGGUACGUACUGUCCGCCAUGAACAAAAGAAAAUUCACCAACCGAAUGAUAUGUCAACUGCCUUUUAUCUGUCCAUGGUUUUCCUAGCAGUAUCGAACAUGUAUGCAUGUGCACAUGAAGCACAUCACACAUGACCCGAUCACGAUAUCCGCAUAGAGUAAACCGUACCUCGAUUCGAUGCAUGAUAUUGACAAACCUGUCCUUCCACCAAAGCUUGUAAGGUUCUGGAUGUUCAAUCAAUAACAGGUUCAAAGCAUCAACCAUAGUAUUACUUACUAAAUUCAUACUCGAAUAACAAUUCAUCAAAGUUGCACAACUCGCCGGCCCGACACGCACGCGCGUAAAGCAUUGGUACCACGGCAAGGCACGCAAUGGAUCAUUUUCCACCGACAUCAUCAUUUGCGAGCUACAAUCUUUCCUCAUGAUAAAAAAUUCAAUAGAACUCGAAGAAAAAUAUUGUACCGUGAACAAUCUUUGCUCUGAAUACCAACUGAUAUUCACCGAACCUCGAUGGCGAGAUCCGAUCUGUUAUUGUGGCCCGAUUUUCACGGUACUCCACCUUCAGAGCAGUAAUCUCUCGCCCGCGCACGCAAUGUACAUGAAGUAGAGGGUUUGAACCUUGCGGCUCAGCACGAGAGAAACAAUCUGGACGACAGCACCUCACGCGCAAAACAAUUUCCUCACAGAAAUCGCAACAAAGAGGUUUUCUAAAGCUACCUCAAAAACUUGAUACGGAUGUCUACCCCUAAAAACACAUCUGUCUAUUUCAUAUCAAAAUAUAACCUGCAUUACAUGGGACGCAUAACUUGGCUUUAUAGUAGUAGCCGGCCUAGAAACAAAGCUAAACUCAGGUGGACUCUUACUUUUAUCCUAACUAACAAAGAAUUAACUAAUUAAAUAUUCGCCAACCUGAUAACAAACUAGACUCCUUAUUUUGGUCGUGGCGUCUCUUUCUCGUGAAAUAUGCGUGUAGGUGGACCCCACCCAACAGCCUUUAAACACAACAGAUCCCAUACAGAACACGUGUAAGACUGAUCCUUCUCUUUCCUUGGUAAAAAUAGAAAGAUAGAUGACAUCUUGAUCUCCUUCCGUUCAAACCAAUUCUCCUUCCUUUCAUCCCAAAAAAUAUGUGCGUGCAUUCCUUUGAAACAAAAAGAAUGCUUGACUGAUCUCCAUGCUGCAUUAGCACAUAAAUGAGGAGUAUUAUUUUUCCAUACUGCAUGUGAGGCCACGUCCUCAUGCUGAUUUGCAUCUAGCAAGUCUCUUCCAGAAUUUGCAUGCGCCACGUCCUUUUCUUUUCUUUCUUUCAUCCCAACAAGAUCUCUGCCGAUGCAAUAAUUAGCAUACCUAUUAGUUAUGACCAUAUCAAGAACCAAAGAUAAUAUCAUCAACAUAUAGUUGGCAUACAAACAACUCUCCUUUGACCUUCUUAGUAAAAAGACUGGGGUCGAUUUUCCCAAUUUUAAACCCACGAUCUUGCAACAACCCGGUAAGGUGCUCAUACCACACACGUGGGGCUUGUUUAAGGCCAUAGAGUGCCUUAUCGAGUUGGUACACAUGUUUGGGGAACUCGGGAUCCUCAAACCCCGGGGGUUGUUUGACAUACACCAACUCAUUAAUAGGACCAUGAAGAAAAGCACUCUUCACAUCCAUUUGUUGCAACUUGAAGUUAUGAUGAGAAGCAUAAGCAAUCAACAAACGAAUGGAUUCAAGGCAAGCAACGGGAGCAAAGGUUUCACCGUAGUCGAUACUCUCGACUUGGGAGUAGCCUUGUUGCGAACGAUAAUAGCAUGAGCAUCUUGCUUGUUCUUGAAUAUCCACUUGGUUCCAGUAACAUUAUGGUUCUCCUUUGGCCUUGGCACCAAUCUCCACACCUUGUUGUGCUCGAAGUUGUUGAGUUCUUCAUGCAUGGCAUUAAGCCAAUCCGGAUCUUUGAGCGCCUCAUAGACCUUUUGGGGUUCAACACAAGAAAUAAACACGUGAUGUUCACAAUAAUUUGCUAAUUGUCUACGAGUGCUUACCCCCUUUCUUAAGCUUCCAAUCACAUUCUUCAUGAGAUGAUCUUUGGUAGUGAGCUUGGACGCAAUCUUGGCAGAACGACGCUCCAAUUCCUCCUCAAGAGAGAGUUGAGGAGCGGUAACUUGAUCAUCUUGAGCGGCGUCUUGAGCUUGUUCUUGAUCUUGAGCUUGCUCUUGAUCUUGAACUUGCUCAGUGGUAAGAACUUGACCUUGGGCAUCACUUGGUGGAUCACCCACCAUCUUGAGGUUGAUCUUGCCCUUGAUCUUGUUCAUUUGGUUGAGGGACUUCACUUUGUUCUUCGAAAGCAUGUGGGUCUUGGGUUGGUGAAGGUUCCACUUGAGUGGAACAUUGUCCUUCUCCUUCGGCCACAAGGGGUUCCUUAAUGGGUAGGAUAUGACCAACACCCAUUCUUCUUAUGGAUUGGAGAGGAAUUUCAUCACCUACAUCACAAGUACCACUUUGCUCCACUUGGGAGCCAUUAUUCUCAUCAAACUCCAUGUUACACAUCUCCUCAAUGAGUCCCGUGGACUUGUUGAGGACGCGAUAAGCAUGAGAGUUUGUAGCAUAACCAACAAAUAUGCCCUCAUGAGCUCUAGCCUCAAAUUUAGACAAACAAACACGUUUCUUGAGAAUGAAACACUUACAACCGAACACCCGGAAGUACUUGAGGUUGGGCUUGUUGCCGGUGAGUAUCUCAUAUGGAGUCUUGUUCAAGCCUUUGCGGAGAUAGAGUCGAUUGGAUGCAUGACAAGUGGUGUUGAUGGCUUCGGACCAAAAGUUGUACAUAGACUUGAACUCCGCCAUCAUGGUCCUUGAUGCAUCCACCAACGUCCGGUUCUUCCUCUCCGCUUGAUCCUCUCAUCACUAAGAAACUCAUCCAAGGUGUAGUUCUUGAACUCGGUGCGGAAUAUUGAUGCUUGAUCCUCUCAUCACUAAGAAACUCAUCCAAGGUGUAGUUCUUGAACUCGGUGCCGUUUUCACUUCUUAUUGUCAAGAUCUUUGCAUUGUGUUGAUGUUGGGCUUCAUUUGCAAAGUCGAUGAUGGUUUGUUGGGUGAUGUCGCUUGAAGCUACGUCGGUAUUUCCCCAAAGAGGAAGGGAUGAUGCAGCACAUCGGCGGUAGGUAUUUCACACAGAUAUGAAACCAAGGUUAUCGAACCAGUAGGAGAACCAAGCAACACAAUGGAAACAACACCUGCACACAGAUAACAAAUCCUUGCAACCCAACGUGUUAAAGGGGUUGUCAAUCCCUUUCGGGGUAUGGCGCCUCAAGAUAGGCAAACAGACGUGAGAUAAAUUUGUAGUAUAUUGAUAGAUCGAACGCCAAAUAAAAUAAAUAGGAAUAAAUUGUAGAAAAGUAUUUUUAGGUUUUUGGUUUAGUAGAUCUGAAAAUAAAAGCAAAUAAAAUAGAUCGCAAAGGCAAAUAUAUGAGAAAGAAGACCCGGGGGCCGUAGGUUUCACUAGUGGCUUCUCUCGAGAAAAAUAGCAAACGGUGGGUAAACAAAUUACUCUUGGGCAAUUGAUAAAACAUCAAACAAUUAUGAUGAUAUCCAGGCAAUGAUCAUUUUAUAGGCAUCACAUCCAAGAUUAGUAGACCGACUCCUGCCUGCAUCUACUACUACUACUCCACACAUCGACCGCUAUCCAGCAUGCAUCUAGUGUAUUAAGUUCAUGGAGAAACGAAGUAAUGCAAUAAGAAUGAUGACAUGAUGUAGACAAGAUCUAUCUAUGUAGAGAUAGACCCCAUCGUUUUAUCCUUUGUAGCAACGAUACAUACGUGUCGUUUCCCUUUCUGUCACAAGGAUCAAGCACCGUAAGAUCGAACCCACUACAAAGCACCUCUUCCCAUUGCAAGAUAAAUAUAUCAAGUUGUUGGGGAACGUAGUAUUUCAAAAAAUAUGCCUACAAUCAAGCAAGAUCUAUCUAGGAGAAGCAUAGCAACGAGUGGGGAGAGUGUGUCCAUGUACCCUCGUAGACCGAAAGCGGAAGCAUUAAGUAACGCGGUGGAUGUAGUCGAACAUCUUCGUGAUCCAACCGAUCAAGUACCGAAUGCACGGCACCUCCGCGAUCUGCACACGUUCAGCUCGGUGACGUCCCUCAAACUCUAGAUCCAGCUGAGGCCGAGGGAGAGUUUCGUCAGCACGACGGCAUGUUGGCGGUGAUGAUGAAGUUGCCGACGCAGGGCUUCGCCUAAGCACUACGACAAUAUGACCGAGGUGGAAAUCUGUGGAGGGGGGCACCGCACACGACUAAGAGAUCAACUUGUGUGUCUAUGGGGUUCCCCCUCCCUGUAUGUAAAGGAGUGUAGGAGGGGGCCGGCCGGCCUCAUAGGGCGUGCCCCCAGGGGGGAAUCCUACUCCUACUAGGAGUAGGUUCCCCCCCUUUCCUAGUCCAACUAGGAGGGGAAGGAAAGGGAAGAGGGGAAGAAGGAAAGGGGGCCCAACCCCCCUCCCCAAUUCGGAUUGGCCUUGGGGGGCGCACCCCUCCUCUUGGCCGCCUCCUCCUCUCUUCCACUAAAGCCCACGAAGGCCCAUUAAACCCCCAGGGGUUCCGGUAACCCCAUGGUACUCCAGAAAAUGCCCGAACUUAUCUGAAACCUUUUCGGUGUCCAAACAUAACCUUCCAAUAUAUCAAUCUUCAUGUCUCGACCAUUUCGAGACUCCUCGUCAUGUCCGUGAUCACAUCCGGGACUCCGAACAACCUUCGGUACAUCAAAUCACAUAACUCACAAUACAUAUCAUCAUCGAACAUUAAGCGUGCGGACCCUACGGGUUCGAGAACUAUGUAGACUUGACCGAGACUUAUCUCCGGUCAAUAACCAAUAGCGGAACCUGGAUGCUCAUAUUGGUUCCUACAUAUUCUACGAAGAUCUUUAUCCGUCAAACCGCAUAACAACAUACGUUGUUCCCUUUGUCAUUGAUAUGUUACUUGCCCGAGAUUCGAUCGUCGGUAUCAUCAUACCUAGUUCAAUCUCGUUACCGCAAAGUCUCUUUACUCGUUCCGUAAUGCAACAUCCCGCAACUAACUCAUUAGUCACAUUGCUUGCAAGGCUUAUAGUGAUGUGCAUUACCGAGAGGGCCCAGAGAUACCUCUCCGACAAUCGGAGUGACAAAUCCUAAUCUCGGUCUAUGUCAAGUCAACAAACACCAUCGGAGACACCUGUAGAGCAUCUUUAUAAUCAUCCAGUUACAUUGUGACGUUUGAUAGCACACAAAGUGUUCCUCCGGUAUUCGGGAGUUACAUAAUCUCAUAGUCAUAGGAACAUGUAUAAGUUAUGAAGAAAGCAAUAGAAAUAAACUAAACGAUCAUAGUGCUAAGCUAACAGAUGUGUCAUGUCAAUCACAUCAUUCUCUAAUGAUGUGAUCCCGUUAAUCAAAUGAAAAGUCAUGUCUAUGUCUAGGAAACUUAACCAUCUUUGAUUAACGAGCUAGUCAAGUAGAGGCAUACUAGUGACACUCUGUUUGUCUAUGUAUUCACACAUGUACUAAGUUUCUGGUUAAUACAAUUCUAGCAUGAAUAAUAAACAUUUAUCAUGAUAUAAGGAAAUAUAAAUAACAACUUUAUUAUUGCUUCUAGGGCAUAUUUCCUUCAGUCUCCCACUUGCACUAGAGUCAAUAAUCUAGAUUACAUUGUAAUGAUUCUAACACCCAUGUAAUAUUGGUGUUGAUCAUGUUUUGCUCGUGAGAGAGGCUUAGUCAAUGGGUCUGCAACAUUCAGAUCCGUAUGUAUCUUGCAAAUCUCUAUUACUCCCUCCUUGACUUGAUCGCGGAUGGAAUUGAAGCGUCUCUUGAUGUGCUUGGUUCUCUUGUGAAAUCUGGAUUCCUUUGCUAAGGCAAUUGCACCAGUAUUGUCACAAAAGAUUUUCAUUGGACCCGAUGCACUAGGUAUGACACCUAGAUCGGAUAUGAACUCCUUCAUCCAGUCUCCUUCAUUUGAUGCUUCCGAAGCAGCUAUGUACUCCGCUUCACACGUAGAUCCCGCCACGACGCUCUUCUUGGAACUUCACCAACUGACAACUCCACCAUUCAAUAUAAAUAUGUCUCCGGUUUGUGACUUAGAGUCAUCCGGAUCAGUGUCAAAGCUUGCAUCGACGUAACCGUUUAUGACGAGCUCUUUGUCACCUCCAUAAACGAGAAACAUAUCCUUAGUCCUUUUCAGGUAUUUCAGGAUAUUCUUGACCGCUGUCCAGUGAUCCACUCCUGGAUUACUUUGGUACCUCCCUGCUAAACUAAUAGCAAGGCACACAUCAGGUCUGGUACACAACAUUGCAUACAUGAUAGAACCUAUGGCCGAAGCAUAGGGAAUGACUUUCAUUUUCUCUCUAUCUUUUGCAGUGGCCGGGCAUUGAGUCUGACUCAACUUCACACCUUGUAACACAGGCAAGAACCCUUUCUUUGCUUGAUCCAUUUUGAACUUCUUCAAAACUUUAUCAAGGUAUGUGCUUUGUGAAAGUCCAAUUAAGCGUCUUGAUCUAUAUCUAUAGAUCUUGAUGCCCAAUAUAUAAGCAGCUUCACCGAGGUCUUUCAUUGAAAAAUUCUUAUUCAAGUAUCCUUUUAUGCUAUUCAGAAAUUCAGUAUCAUUUCCGAUCAACAAUAUGUCAUCCACAUAUAAUAUCAGAAAUGCUACAGAGCUCCCACUCACUUUCUUGUAAAUAUAGGCUUCUCCAAAAGUGUGUAUAAAACCAUAUGCUUUGAUCACACUAUCAAAGCAUAUAUUCUAACUCCGAGAUGCUUGCACUAGUCCAUAAAUGGAUCACUGGAGCUUACACACUUUGUUAGCACCUUUUGGAUCGACAAAACCUUCUAGUUGCAUCAUAUACAACUCUUCUUUAAGAUAUCCAUUAAGGAAUGCAGUUUUGACAUCCAUUUGCCAAAUUUCAUAAUCAUAAAAUGCGGCAAUUGCUAACAUGAUUCGGACGGACUUAAGCAUCGCUACGGGUGAGAAGGUCUCAUCGUAGUCAACUCCUUGAACUUGUCGAAAACAUUUGACAAGUCAAGCUUUGUAGACAGUAACAUUACCGUCAAUGUCAGUCUUCUUCUUGAGGAUCCAUUUAUUAUUUAUCGCUUGCCGAUCAUCGGGCAAGUCAACCAAACUCCACACUUUGUUCUCAUACAUGGAUCCCAUCUCAGAUUUCAUGGCCUCAAGCCAUUUUGCGGAAUCUGGGCUCAUCAUCGCUUCCUCAUAGUUCGUAGGUUUGUCAUGGUCAAGUAACAUGACUUCCAGAACAGGAUUACCAUACCACUCUGGUGCGGACCUUACUAUGCUUGACCUACGAGGUUCGGUAGUUACUUGAUCAGAAGUUUCAUGAUCAUCAUCAUUAGCUUCCUCACUAAUUGGUGUAGGAAUCACUGAAACUAAUUCCUGUGAUGAACUACUUUCCAACUAGUGGAGUGCCCGUGCGUUGCCACGGGCUCUUGAAAUAGUUUACAAUGUAACAUGUUAAAUUCCAUUUUUUGCAAACAAUAUAACACAAACAAAAUUAUUUAAUAACUGAAGGCCAUUUUUGCAAUGUAAAUUGAUAACAGAAAGAAAAAGUAACGACAUGUCCAUGUAACAAACUGAGUGAUGUUCCAACUAAAUAUCUAUUACAAAACUAUUAAUAUCUAGAUGAUGCGCUUAAGAAAUUCUUUCACAAUAUCCGGAAAGCUUUCUUUAGCUUCAUUCCCAUGAUGUUUUAGCAAGUAUAAUAUAAACUGCUUCCUCAAUUCACACCCAUCUUGCAUAAACAAUACAUGUAGUUAGUAUUAAAAUUUCACGCCGAAGGUCUUAACACAUGUAACGGACAAUACUCACCGAGCAAAUCGGCUUGACCAAUUCUUUACCGUUCCACCAGAGCAUAAAAUGGAAAACAAAAUAUCCAGACACAUUCCUGCAAAACUUUAAAUUAAUAAUAUAAAGAAUAUAGUGAUAAUAAAAGUAAAUGUUUUUCGUAUGGAUUCAUUACCCAUCUAUACUCGUUGGAACACCAAACGGAAAUAAACGUUGCCAUUUAGAUAUAUCAUAAUUCCAACCAGGCAGCUUUAUUUCGAGUGCUUCUUUGAAAUCCCUUGCAAAACUUUUUAAUUUCAGUGCAUGCCUUAUCUUUUUUUCCUCUAACGAUUGUGAUGUUUGAAUAGGAUCCAUAAUAUAUAGGCGACAUGCCUCUUUAUCGAUGACGUACAAGAUGUAUUGGCCGAUUGAUGAAUAGGGAAGAUAAAUCUACAAGUGGAGCUAUUAGAAACAACAAUAAACCAUGAUAACAAUGGACAAAUAACUUUACUUACCUUGUUGCAUGCUGAGAUAUCGUUGUCCAUCCCAGGCCAACUAUCAAAUAAUGUUGCCAACGUCUGGAUAGUGUCCUUCUCGCAAAACUUCUGACCUCGUGUUGACUCUAGAAACAUGGACUAAGCAAAAAAAGAAAUAUUGGUUCAACAUGUUGUUAAUAAUGACACAUAAAUUGAAUAGUUACGGUAACUUACACAAAAUCAUAGAUCCAUGUAGUUACGGGAGGGUCUGUGAACAAUACUCCCUCGUCACAUGCCAGCAUACGCACGACGGUGUUGAAGCAUUCAUUGUCCAUGGGCUGCUCCAUGUUUAGUAUGCACUGAAGUUUCUUAAGACUUAAGCCCACUGGAUCGGGUGUCGAGCUCCGGACCCAUAACUUCCUACAAAUUUGGAUGGUAAGAAGAACAAUAAUAUACAUCCGCAUAUUAAAUAUUGACACAUGAUACUUACUCCAGACAUCCAGCAUCAUCGAUCGACAUGAUGUAGCUGCAAAGGCCGGCAAGUAAUUCACGUUUCUUCGUGGGUAUGGUAGUUAUUGGGGCAGGACGUUUGUCUUUGACAACAUCAGAUGGAUUCUCCAGGAUCUCGAGAUCAGAAUUAGCUAAAUUUCCUUCAUCGUCAGAAUUAUAUAAAGUUUCUUCAUCGUCAGGUUCAUGGUAUAUGGGAACUCCUUUUAGCUUAUUCAGCUCUGAAUCGAGCAAAAUGACAGCUAAUUUUUGUCGAAAAUGUUUCAUAUCCUCCUACAAGAUAUAUAUUUAUAUAAUAUUUCUUAAUAAAAUAACGAGAUAAUGUAAAAAAAAUGAAAUACCUGGGUGAACUGGUCUGACAGUCCAUGUGAUGACCAGUAUUCCAUAUAAUUUAGCAUAAACAAUCCACAUGAUACGCUAUAAUAUUAUAAAAUAAUGCUUUAGAAUAUCACACAUAUGAAUCAAAAAGACAAACCAUUGUAACAAGUGCUUACCCAUCAGUUUGUAUUGCCUUAUGAAACUGCUCUACAACCGUCCAUUUUGUAACAUUGAGAUCGGGCCACUUAUGACCUCUGAUAAAACCCGGGCUAUGCUCUACAAGUUUCAGACGCUUCUCGAGUCCUAGCAACUAUUAAUCACACCAUAUAAUAUUACCGAUCGAGGCAAACAAAACAUAUGUUAAGAUGAGUAAAAAAAUAGAUAGUUACCGUAGUAGAAAGGUCAUUGCGUUUGACCCACGAACCAAGUGAGUCCAAUACUUGAAUCUCAUGUUUUGUGCAUUGGCGACUGCUAGAUACCAAUGGUAGCCCGGCAUGUUAAUCAGAAUGAAUAGCUGAUGUAAAUAUCAUACAAGUCACGGUAGCAAUUAGAUAUAAAUAUUAAUAAAUAAUCAUACAUAUGAAUUAAAUAAAAACAUACCAUAAUUAUAUCCAUGGAUAACGAGACAAAAACUAACCAUAUCUUGUUGUAGAUAAGUAUUAACAUGAUGCACGAUGCGGUGAUAUUUUGAUGGGUCUAUGUCUGUUUCCCCGUCUUCUUUUAUCUGGCCAGAUACAAACGUGCUAACAAUGUGUACCUUCUCACCCGCCCUGUCUUGUAGAUGGUCGUGAGCAAGCAUGCAAUAUAUGUAAGCAUUUAUCACCUGUAAUGAGCAUUUAGAUUAUAUUUAUAUUUUAUGAUAUUAUAUAUUGUUCAUAUUUUUAAUUACAAAGUUUGUGCAAUUGGUCUUACACCGUCAUGUAAGAACAUAUCAUCUUUCAUAAGGCAUUCCAAUUCGUCGGUUGAUAACAAGGCAUCUCCAAUGUCCACGAACUGGGUAUUCUUCGGGGCAGACUUGAUUGAUUCGAUGACUGUAAUAUCCCUAGGGGUACAAACAUAGUCUGUCGAAUACAUAAAAAUAUGAGCCAACUUAACAAUCACAAUGAGCAAAAUUAGUUGAAUACAAAAGACAAUAUCACAAAAAUAAGAUUCAUAAUAAUAUUAAAAAAUACCUUGUGGGACAAUAUGUAAAUUAACAUUCUUUUUUGGUUUGUUAUGAGAUAUAACCUCUUCGACAUUUUUAUGUUGUGAAUUUUCUUCCACUUUCAACGACAUCGCAUCUGACCCUCAAUGAAUUCUUUCCGUGCAUCUUCAAAGUCCAUAUCCAUGUCUCCUCUAUUUUGAAAAAACAAAAAUAUAAAAAUAGCCCUUCCGUAUUAUCAUAUAUAUGAUAAAAAUUGCGGAAUGUUAGCUAUAUGCACCUCUUCUCGUGGUGUUUCACUGUGGUCUGUCAUCGUUGCAUCAGUGAGUAUGUCGGAACCCAUCAAUUUAUAUAUAUGCUGAAAAAUAAUUAAUACUUUUUACUACAUCAUAAAAUUAUAUUUGAUAUAUAAUAAUAUGCUAAUAAAAAAGCAUUUGGUUAUAUUAGAAAAGAAGACACUUUAAUCAUUUUACUAACACAACAAUUCGGGGAAAACAACAAACUAUAAUGUUCAUCUAUAAGUAAGUAGGCGUCUGAGAUUGCUUAAAUUAUUUUAAAUUAAUUAUAUAGGCUAUGGAAAAUUGCCAUACAAAAACUAAAACAAACAAACCAACAUUAACCAAUUAUAUUUGUUUUUUCUAUGAUUUAUUUUGUGAUACCCUUAGUAUAUGUCAUAAGCAUACAAAUAUUUAUUUUUAUGGACCAUGAUUAAUAUAUAUAUAUAUCUAUACAAAUUUGAAUAAUUUGUGAGGUAUGUAUAAUUAAAUAUUUAUGUUGUUUUGUGAUUUAAAAAAAUAAUUACAAAACAAAGUUGAGACGUCCGCUAAUAACAAAUAUACCAUGAUGAAAUAUAUAUGAUAUUUCCUACUGCAUCAUAUUAUUAUAUAUAAUAUAUAAUAAAAAGAAAAGUGAAACUAACACAACUUUUUGCUAUGCAAAAAAGAAAACCUAUUUGAUUUUAUUAGAAAUAUAUGUUGUUUAAAUAAGUGUCCUACCCAUGAAAACUCGGGAAAAACAACAAACCUCAAUGUUCAUAUAUAUAAGUAAGUUGUCAUUUGAUAAUUAUUUAGAUUAUUUUUGUAGACUAUGAAAAACUGUCAAAGAAAAUAAAACAUCGCCCGCCUCCCUCGCGCGACGGCCCGCCUCCCCCCCGCGGUCGCCUUUCCACCUACACGACCGCUUACCCUAUCCAUUCCAGUCGCUCCUCUCCCCUCCACUCACUUCAUCUUCCCACUUUCCCCUCCGCCGCCGCAUCGCCGCGUGUGUCCACCAGCUGGCGGCUGCGCGACUCCGCCCGCCGCAUCAGUCCCUCUCCUCUCCUCUCCACUCACCACACAUGAUGAUUCUCACUCGCCACCUCUCGCCCUGUCACCUCCCUCGCCGCAUCACGGCGUGCGUCGCCGAGCCCGCAACCACCACGCCAUAUUGCCGCGACCACCGCACCAGUCUCCAGCGAGCCGUGCGCGACUGAUGGGGACACACGCAUCGAGCUUCGUCACCCAGGCGCGGGUGCUGGAUCCGGUCGCGUUCCGUUGGGAUCCGCGGCGGUGUUGGUCUCUGGCGAGUUCGACGGUGGAUCCGAAGCGGGGCGCAUCGAUCUGCAAUGCCAGUAGCUCCGGUACGCAGAUCCGACCCCUUUCCUCCUCUAAUUUUCCUUUUGUUGCAUCCCUGAACUGAUCUCCUGCUCGCUGAUGUAUCGAGGCGCCAUGAUAUGCACUCACAGGCAGGGCCAGGGCGAAGAUGGCUCCCCGACGGCCAAGACACGGCCACGGUGGUGCAGCCUGUGGUCUACAUCGCAGGCAAGAAGCACCACCAAGAGGUCGGGUCACAGUGGUGCAGCCUGUGGUCCACAUCGCCUACUACUCCGCCGUCUUCCGCAACCCCCACCACUUCGGCGGAAAGGUGAGACAAACGGCCCCUCCCCGUGUGACGCCCGGGUAAUUAAGCUACGGUAAUCCCCGCUAAUGAUGCCAUGUCACCUCGGUUGCUGUGGAUAAACUCGCGUUAGUUCGGAACCUAGUUCGAAUUUCAAAUUCAAAAUCGAGCAAACAAUAAAAGUUUUCAAAUAUUAAAAUUUAAAUGUUCGGAGUGAACCAAAUAAUACAUAGGUAAUUAUGGUGAUGAAACCACAUUUUUAUAAAGUGUUUAAAUGCUCAAAGGAAAAUAAAACAGCAGCAAAAGAAAGUAAUUAAAUGCCUUUUGUAUUUUGUAAAAUAUUAAACAAUUUUAUUUAGCUGUCCAAAUUAAUGUGGCAGUGGUAUCUUUAACAUACCAUAUUUAGGUGUUGUUCUCACAUUCUUCAAAAUUGAAGUAAAUUAAUAAUUUAAUAAAACCGAAAGGAAUAAAUAAAAGAAAAGGAAAACAGAAAACAAGAAAAAANNNNNNNNNNNNNNNNNNNNNNNNNNNNNNNNNNNNNNNNNNNNNNNNNNNNNNNNNNNNNNNNNNNNNNNNNNNNNNNNNNNNNNNNNNNNNNNNNNNNNNNNNNNNNNNNNNNNNNNNNNNNNNNNNNNNNNNNNNNNNNNNNNNNNNNNNCCACGCCCCUCUCCCCUUCCCCGACCGGAUCGGGGCAGCGCCCCACUGGCCACCUCACCCGAGCCACCACGCCAGACCACACCUCGCCGCCUCGACCGCCUCCUCGCCGGAACCUCGUCACCGCCGCCCGGAGGAUCACCUCGCCGGAACUCCCCCCCCGCUGGAUCUGGAUCGGCACCCGAGCCGAUCCCCGGUGCCCGCGCUCGCCGUCGUUCGCCGUCACCACGCCGGACCCCGUCGCCCGCCUCCUCGGCUGCCACCUCGUCGUUCCGCUUUUCCGCCAACCACCUCGAGCCACUGCCUCCCCGUCCGGCUCACUAUGAGCCCCGUGCCCUCCUCUUUCCUCUGUGCUCCGGCCUCCCCUCCCCUAGCUCGUUCGCCACUGUCACCGGCGCCCAUCGCCGCGCUCGACCUACAGUGGUCGCGCUCCCGCGCGCGCCCUCCCUAUCGCCGUCCACGCCCGCGCCGUCUCCGGUCGCGCUCGAUGCGCGCUCACCGUGCCCCCGUCCGCGCACAGGUCCCCAACGCCGGCCUGCGCGUGGCCCUACCCGUCGACGCCCGCGGCGGGCCACCACCGCUGCCUGCCGGCCGAGUACCGCCGGCGCCGUCACCUUUGUGCGUGCGUGCACAGCCGCGGCACGAGCCAGCUGUGUCACCGCCACAUGGGGCCGGCCCUAAUUAGCUUAGGGGCUAAUCCCCUUUAAAACAAAACCCCCUGGAGUAUGACUACUGGGCCCCACCCUGUAAAAUAAAAUAAAUAUUAACUAAACAAAUAAACUUAAUUAAUUAAUUAAUUAACUAAAUAAAUUAAGUUAAUUAAUCCUAGUUAAUUAAUCUAAUUAAUCUAUUAGUUUAAUUAAACAGUAGUUUGUUUAGCCUAAACCCUAAUUAAGUCUAAACAGAGUAUGACAGGUGGGUCCCACUGGACCCACUGGUCAGGUUGACCAGUCAACCCCCGUUGACUGCUGACGUCAGCAUGACAUCAUGCUGAUGUCAUAAUUCCAUUUUCGAAAUUAAAUUAAAUAAUUAAUUAAAUUCUAGAAAUUAAUAAAAUCUUUAGUAAAUCAUAUCUUUUAAUCCGUAACUCGGAUUAAAUUAUUUUCAACAUGAAAGUUGCUCAGAACGACGAGACGAACCCGGAUACGCAGCCCGUUCGUCCGCCACGCACCCCUAACAUAUCAAACUCGCAACUUUCCCCCUCCGGCUCCUCUGCCCGAAAACACGGAACACCGGGAAUACUUUCCCGGAUGUUUUCCCCCUUCGCCGGCAUCACCUCAUACUGCGUUAGGACACACCUAGCACCGCUCUUUGUCAUGUCUUGCGUCGUCUUGCUUAUGUUUGCACUGUAUUUAUUGUUUCUUCCCCCCUCUUCUCUUCGAUAGACUACGAGACCGACGCCGUUGCUGCCCAGUUCGACUACGGAGUUGACGACCCCUCUCUCUUGCCAGAGCAACCAGGCAAGCCCCCCCUUGAUCACCAAAUAUCGCCUAUUCUUCUCUAUACUGCUUGCAUUAGAGUAGUGUAGCAUGUUACUGUUCGGUUACUCCUAUUCUGUUGCAUAGCCUGAUAUUGUUGCUACAUUUGUUGAUACCUUACCUGCAAUCCUAAAUACUUAGUAUAGGAUGCUAGUUUAUUAUCAUUGGCCCUACAUUCUUGUCAGUCUGCCUUGCUAUACUAUUGGGCCGUGAUCACUCGGGAGGUGAUCACGGGUAUAUACUAUACAUACAUACAUACUAUACAGAUGGUGACUAAAGUCGGGUCAGCUCGAUGAGUACCCGCAAGUGAUUCUGAUGAGGGGGCUGAAAGGACAGGUGGCUCCAUCCCGGUAGAGGUGGGCCUGGGUUCCCGACGGCCCCCGACUGUUACUUUGUGGCGGAGCGACAGGGCAGGUUGAGAACACCUAGGAGAGAGGUGGGCCUGGCCCUAUUCGGCGUUCGCGGAUAUUUAACACGCUUAACGAGAUCUUGGUAUUUGAUCUGAGUUGGCUACGAGCCUAUACGCACUAACCAUCUACGUGGGAGUAGUUAUGGGUAUCCCGGCGUCGUGGUAUCAGCCGAAGCACUUCAGACGUCAGCGACGGAGCGGCGCGCGCCGGAUUGGAACGUAAUCCUGCUCUUGUAUUAAGGGGGCUAGUUCUGCUUUCGGCCGCCCUCGCAACGUGCAGGUGUGCUAAGGGCGAUGGGCCCAGACCCCUGUGCGCUUAGGUUUAGACCGGCGUGCUGACCUCUCUGUUGUGUCUAGGUGGGGCUAUGACAUGUUGAUCUUCCGAGGUCGGGCAUGACCCAGGAAAGUGUGUCUGGCCAAAUGGGAUCGAGCGUGUUGGGUAAGUUGGUGCACCCCUGCAGGGAAGUUAAUCUAUUCGAAUAGCCGUGAUCUUCGGUAACAGGAUGACUUGGAGUUGUACCUUGACCUUAUGACAACUAGAACCGGAUACUUAAUAAAACACACCCUUCCAAGUUCCACAGACAACCCGGUGAUCGCUUUUCUACAGGGCGACGAGGAGAGGAUCGCCGGGUAGGAUUAUGCUAUACGAUGCUAGUGGAGAUGCUACUUGGAGGACUUCAAUCUACUCUCUUCUACAUGCUGCAAGACGGAGGCUGCCAGAAGCGUAGUCUUCGAUAGGACUAGCUAUCCCCCUCUUAUUCUGGCAUUCUGCAGUUCAGUCCACUGAUAUGGCCUCCUUACACAUAUACCCAUGCAUAUGUAGUGUAGUUCCUUGCUUGCGAGUACUUUGGAUGAGUACUCACGGUUGCUUUCUUCCCCCCUUUCCCCCCUUUCCUUUCUUUCUGGUUGUCGCAACCAGAUGCUAGAGUCCAGGAGCCAGACGCCACCGUCGAUGACGACCCCUACUACACCGGAGGUGCCUACUACUACGUGCAGCCCGCUGACGACGACCAGGAGUAGUUAGGAGGAUCCCAGGCAGGAGGCCUGCGCCUCUUUCGAUCUGUAUCCCAGUUUGUGCUAGCCUUCUUAAGGCAAACUUGUUUAACUUAUGUCUGUACUCAGAUAUUGUUGCUUCCGCUGACUCGUCUAUGGUCGAGCACUUGUAUUCGAGCCCUCGAGGCCCCUGGCUUGUAUUAUGAUGCUUGUAUGACUUCUUUAUGUUUUAGAGUUGUGUUGUGAUAUCUUCCCGUGAGUCCCUGAUCUUGAUCGUACACAUUUGCAUGCAUGAUUAGUGUAUGAUUGAAUCGGGGGCGUCACAAGUUGGUAUCAGAGCCGACUGCCUGUAGGAAUCCCCCUUCCACACUCCUUGGCCGAAGUCGAGUCUAGACAUUGCAAAACUUUUACUAACUUGGCUGUGUGCCUUACGGGCCCACGUCGCCAUUGGGUGGUACUAGGAUCUUUUACUCCUCGACCUUUACUCUGGGACUCUGAGCUCUCUUCUAUUCGGGUUAAAUGAUUUCGCUUAAACAAAACUAACUUUAGGUUCUCGCAAGUACUUUCUCCCGGAGAGCCACUUGUUACCGAUGACCGCCUGCUGCACCAGAAGAUUCCGAAGAUACUCUACGAUGUGCUCUCGAGACUAUGUGCCAUCGCUUUUGCAAUUCACUUCCAUCGAUAAAUCCCUCUGGAUAACUACUUACACUUAUCGUUCAUAUUGUCAUCCUCAGUUGCUCUUGUUAUUACAAGAUGUCCUGAAAUACUCUUCGAUAUUCCGACGCUUACUGCCCUGCAGUUCCUUGCUGCAUGAAUACCCCUACGGAUAAUUACUCGCGCUUGCCGAGUAUCCGCUCGUCCCCAGUUGUUCUUGUGUUUCACAAAAGUCUUCAAAAUAACAUUCGAUCUUCCGAAAAUCCUCUGGAGCCUUUGGCUCUUGAAAUUCUUGCUUGCUUGCAUUAUGGUUAAUCCCAUAAGUCUCGUAGUCUUAAUGACAUUCCUUGUCAUUAUCAUUUUGAGUCUGUUGACUCAAUAUGUUUGCGAAUACACGCAACCAUCAUUGAUCCUUAUAAAUUACUUUUCCGGCUAACCUGCCAUUCUUUUAACUGGAAUUGGUUCUCGACCAAUCCAAUUGUCUUUGAUUGUACCCUAAGGCUAUUCAACUUAUCCACCCCUAAUCAGAGCAUUGCUUCUGAUCCCUUGAGUUGGAAAUCAUAAUUCCUUUGCAUUUGACAAUUGAGUUAGUCAGUUGUUUCUAUAAUCUGCUUCCUCUAGUUGAGUACCGAUGCUCACACCAGAUCCCUUAUGGACCACCAGAUCCUUUGUUGGAUUUAUCUGACAACGCCCUUCAUAUUCAAUAACCUUGUGAGCCUUUCCUCGGAUACAUAAUGCCUUUGGUAAAUUGUAUCCUCUGCUUUUCUCAACCAAGCUCUGCCAUCGAGUUUGAGUUAAUUACUCCUAAAGAUUGUGGUAUAUGUUUCUAAGAAGCCCCUGUGGGAUGAACAUAUGCCUUCUCUAAACCAUGUGAACCCGAAGGUUUUCACGAUUCAUACUCUUCUGGUGCUUCGCCAGAUAAAAUUUCAGCACUGCAACUUCAUCGAACGCGAGAAGUGAAUGAAAGGUUAUGCAUUGAGGAAGUGGGAGGCGACCUUGAACUUUGUGUUCAUGCCCAUGGACGCGAUGUAUAUCCUAUCAUGGAAGCUUCUUGUAAUAAUAACUAUUUCCUUGAUAACUAACAUAUGGUAUCUGUGAAUUGAUCCCUUGCAACCGUGGUUCCAACCAUGAUUGUUCUUCUUUGAUUCCAUUUCUCGGACGAGUUAAAACAAUUGUCUCCUAUGGAUCAAUACGCCAGUCCAACCUUUACUUUGAUCUUGUGUCGAGUAUUACCCCCCUGAUAUCUCGAGAUUAUCAUGGAACUGCAUAACAUCUUAUGAGUUCUUCAUCAAGUGCUACCUUCCCACUGAUUCCAAUUUUUCACGGGCUCUGAGUUAUUAAACACUCAAAGACACCGAUAACUGAACCAAGUCCGCUCUACGGUUCAACAACUCUUCAGUAAGCUUCUAUAAGUACGAGUUUGUACCCGAUCACGCCAUUCCUAGCCUGUUUGGCUAUAUCUUUGUCGUGAUGAUUUUAACUGUGCUACCCGAUCCUUCUUCUCGGAGCACAAUUUUCGACGAUGAACUAACCUUACGUCGAUCCUCAUCAUCAUAUCAUUUCGCCUUGAACAACAAGCUUGGUUUCGAGUUUGUGUCGUACCCUUGGUUCCAAUAACCUUUCACUUCAUCAUUACUUUGACUUGAUGUCGUCGCUGAUCGAUUACAUCUUCAUGAACUCUCGCGACAAAGGUGUCGUGAUCAUCAACAUUCUGAGCUCAUCCAGGAUAUCAAUUGAAUUCAUGAUGAGAAAUACCAUCCUUGCCCUCGAUGAAUUGUAUUAUCAUCGACCAAUAUUAUUGCCUUCCCACCAACACAAGCUUGUUCAUGUUUGGUGUUAUACCUUGAGUUCCUUGCUAUCCAGCAAUUAUUCUUCGUUACCUUGGAGUAUUAACAUCCUUUAUGUCAAGAAUGUUCUGAGAUUUGUUCCACCUCUUGAGAAUUCUUGACAUAGAAAUACUUCUCACCAUCACCAUUCUUUCUUGGUCCCCGUGUUAAUUCCAACAAGUGAAUGGUGUUGUUUGGAUUCUUUCCUUCUAGCAACCCUAUUUCUUUGAAGUGAAUGGGUGAUAGUUCAUUCUAAGUCCUUCGCUAAUUGAAUCACCAUUCUAACAUUGGCCGUGCAACCCAACCCAUAUUUCGGGUGCAUCGUUCAACCAAUGUUUAAUUAUGUAUGUUUUCCUCGAGCAUAUCCCAUUAUAUCAUUUGAUCUGACAAAUGUUAUCUCCUUAUCCACAUAAUUGUGGAGAUCCAUCUUUUGGAUACCUCGAUCAGUUAUCGCUGAGUCCAUCAGUCACCUCCUCAUCCUCUCCUUGGUUUAAUGAUGAACUAUUGUUUCAGGAACCCGCUCCCAUAGUUCAUUUCCCGAGAAUCUUACAAUGUCAUUUCGUCGAUAUGUGCCGCAUCUUUUCUUCUCGGACAUCCUGAGUCUGAGGUAUCAUGACACCAAUCGGAUCUGAAUCUUGGUCGGAUAUGAUGGUUGGGACAUUUUCCAAGAGUUAUGAUGUUGAUCCUUUGAUGACCCGGUAACAUGAUGUCAUGCCUAGCACCCCCCCGGCUGGAGGACCUAUCAUUAUAGAUUCCUUUUCAGCAAGGUUAUCCGUUCAUCCAUGGGGAAAUUGUAAGACUUAUUCUACAAGUUAUUCCUGAUGGAUCCUUCGUGUUUCCAAAGUUUGAUCUUCACCUGAAGACCAUGUCAAUGCUACCUCGAAGCAUGUCAAUGGUACUCCGAUUUUCAACAGGAACAUUUGAAGCACGAUGCUAAAUUUUGUUUAUCAUUUAUCCUAACACCGUUGUAUGGGUAAUAUCAUGAGAUUCCUCCCCCUUACCUAAAUGGUUGUCUACUUUAUAUCCUGUCAUUGAUAUCUUGCUCUGCUUGUCCUUGGGAAGGAUAUACCCCUGAAUUAUGUGUUUUAACAUAUUUUCCUUUCCAUUGUUCUGUUUAAUCUGAUAUUCAUAUUUUCCUUUCCAUUGUUGUGUUUGACAUUCUUGUGAUCUAUAUAAUCUAAGCAGUAAAGAUUCACUGCUUAUGUAAACACCUCGAUGUAUAAUUGGUCAGUAAGACCCUGUUACGAUUGUUGAUGAUAUUCCGGUAACCACCGAUGGACGAGAACUUUGCCUAUUGGCCCGCCUCGUUCAACGAGCAGGAAAAUGGUUCUCUUCGUCCCUCGCCCUUGGUAUCGAUGUUGUUGCCGACAUAUCUGACAGGCUACCCUUUGACACGCCUUACUAUCAUGACCGUGCAAAAUGUCGGCCCCCUUCCUACUUUUAACCACAUGGUGGGCCCAUAACCCACAUUUCCACAGGAUCAAAACCUGACUCUCCUGCACCCCCUCUUCCCAAGGUUGUUCCUCGCGUGUGGCCUCGUAUGUAAUUCACGGGCCACCGUCCCAAGUGAUCUAUUUUGGUAAUAGACGCAAUACUCAAUCUCAUUGCUCUGGACCCCUUUCGCAUGUUGUUUCAGGCAUCGAACAAUGGCCUAUCCGUUUGAAACUUCUCAUGGUACCUUCUUACUUUACUCUCGAUAUUUUCUUAAGUACAAUUCGAGAGUUACUUCCUACCCCAUUCCCUGAGUUAUGUACCAGAUAGUCAACCUGGUAAGGCCCGCCCUUCCCGAGUCUUCCCCCCAUAUCCUUUUCGUAAGUACGAUGAAGAUCCCGAAGAAAGGAUGACGACUUCAUCAUUUUGACCUGAAGCAGAAGUAUGAAGGCAUCAAUAUAUUGGAUUGACCUCUUCGAGAAGAGCAAGCCAGGAUGAGAAGACCCGCUAUAUUCGUUAUCAAACCUUCCCCCCUUACUCCCCUCUUAAAUCUCGGGACGAGAUUUCUUGUAGUGGAGGAGAAUUGUGACGCCCGGGUAAUUAAGCUACGGUAAUCCCCGCUAAUGAUGCCAUGUCACCUCGGUUACUGUGGAUAAACUCGCGUUAGUUCGGAACCUAGUUCGAAUUUCAAAUUCAAAAUCGAGCAAACAAUAAAAGUUUUCAAAUAUUAAAAUUUAAAUGUUCGGAGUGAACCAAAUAAUACAUAGGUAAUUAUGGUGAUGAAACCACAUUUUUAUAAAGUGUUUAAAUGCUCAAAGGAAAAUAAAACAGCAGCAAAAGAAAGUAAUUAAAUGCCUUUUGUAUUUUGUAAAAUAUUAAACUAUUUUAUUUAGCUGUCCAAAUUAAUGUGGCAGUGGUAUCUUUAACAUACCAUAUUUAGGUGUUGUUCUCACAUUCUUCAAAAUUGAAGUAAAUUAAUAAUUUAAUAAAACCGAAAGGAAUAAAUAAAAGAAAAGGAAAACAGAAAACAAGAAAANNNNNNNNNNNNNNNNNNNNNNNNNNNNNNNNNNNNNNNNNNNNNNNNNNNNNNNNNNNNNNNNNNNNNNNNNNNNNNNNNNNNNNNNNNNNNNNNNNNNNNNNNNNNNNNNNNNNNNNNNNNNNNNNNNNNNNNNNNNNNNNNNNNNNNNNNNNNNNNNNNNNNNNNNNNNNNNNNNNNNNNNNNNNNNNNNNNNNNNNNNNNNNNNNNNNNNNNNNNNNNNNNNNNNNNNNNNNNNNNNNNNNNNNNNNNNNNNNNNNNNNNNNNNNNNNNNNNNNNNNNNNNNNNNNNNNNNNNNNNNNNNNNNNNNNNNNNNNNNNNNNNNNNNNNNNNNNNNNNNNNNNNNNNNNNNNNNNNNNNNNNNNNNNNNNNNNNNNNNNNNNNNNNNNNNNNNNNNNNNNNNNNNNNNNNNNNNNNNNNNNNNNNNNNNNNNNNNNNNNNNNNNNNNNNNNNNNNNNNNNNNNNNNNNNNNNNNNNNNNNNNNNNNNNNNNNNNNNNNNNNNNNNNNNNNNNNNNNNNNNNNNNNNNNNNNNNNNNNNNNNNNNNNNNNNNNNNNNNNNNNNNNNNNNNNNNNNNNNNNNNNNNNNNNNNNNNNNNNNNNNNNNNNNNNNNNNNNNNNNNNNNNNNNNNNNNNNNNNNNNNNNNNNNNNNNNNNNNNNNNNNNNNNNNNNNNNNNNNNNNNNNNNNNNNNNNNNNNNNNNNNNNNNNNNNNNNNNNNNNNNNNNNNNNNNNNNNNNNNNNNNNNNNNNNNNNNNNNNNNNNNNNNNNNNNNNNNNNNNNNNNNNNNNNNNNNNNNNNNNNNNNNNNNNNNNNNNNNNNNNNNNNNNNNNNNNNNNNNNNNNNNNNNNNNNNNNNNNNNNNNNNNNNNNNNNNNNNNNNNNNNNNNNNNNNNNNNNNNNNNNNNNNNNNNNNNNNNNNNNNNNNNNNNNNNNNNNNNNNNNNNNNNNNNNNNNNNNNNNNNNNNNNNNNNNNNNNNNNNNNNNNNNNNNNNNNNNNNNNNNNNCGGCGGGCCACCACCGCUGCCUGCCGGCCGAGUACCGCUGGCGCUGUCACCUUUGUGCGUGCGUGCACAGCCGCGGCAUGGGCCGGCUGUGUCACCGCCACAUGGGGCCGGCCCUAAUUAGCUUAGGGGCUAAUCCCCUUUAAAACAAAACCCCCUGGAGUAUGACUACUGGGCCCCACCCUGUAAAAUAAAAUAAAUAUUAACUAAAAAAAUAAACUUAAUUAAUUAAUUAAUUAACUAAAUUAAUUAAGUUAAUUAAUCCUAGUUAAUUAAUCUAAUUAAUCUAUUAGUUUAAUUAAACAGUAGUUUGUUUAGCCUAAACCCUAAUUAAGUCUAAACAGAGUAUGACAGGUGGGUCCCACUGGACCCACUGGUCAGGUUGACCAGUCAACCCCCGUUGACUGCUGACGUCAGCAUGACAUCAUGCUGAUGUCAUAAUUCCAUUUUCGAAAUUAAAUUAAAUAAUUAAUUAAAUUCUAGAAAUUAAUAAAAUCUUUAGUAAAUCAUAUCUUUUAAUCCGUAACUCGGAUUAAAUUAUUUUCAACAUGAAAGUUGCUCAGAACGACGAGACAAACCUGAAUACGCAGCCCGUUCGUCCGCCACGCACCCCUAACAUAUCAAACUCGUAACUUUCCCCCUCCGGCUCCUCUACCCGAAAACACGGAACACCGGGAAUACUUUCCCGAAUGUUUUCCUCCUUCGCCGGCAUCACCUCAUACUGCGUUAGGACACACCUAGCACCGCUCUUUGUCAUGUCUUGCGUCGUCUUGCUUAUGUUUGCACUGUAUUUAUUGUUUCUUCCCCCCUCUUUUCUUCGAUAGACUACGAGACCGACGCCGUUGCUGCCCAGUUCGACUACGGAGUUGACGACCCCUCUCUCUUGCCAGAGCAACCAGGCAAGCCCCCCCGUGAUCACCAAAUAUCGCCUAUUCUUCUCUAUACUGCUUGCAUUAGAGUAGUGUAGCAUGUUACUGUUCAGUUACUCCUAUUCUGUUGCAUAGCCUGACAUUGUUGCUACAUUUGUUGAUACCUUACCUGCAAUCCUAAAUACUUAGUAUAGGAUGCUAGUUUAUUAUCAUUGGCCCUACGUUCUUGUCAGUCUGCCUUGCUAUACUAUUGGGCCGUGAUCACUCGGGAGGUGAUCACGGGUAUAUACUAUACAUACAUACAUACUAUACAGAUGGUGACUAAAGUCGGGUCAGCUCGAUGAGUACCCGCAAGUGAUUCUGAUGAGGGGGCUGAAAGGACAGGUGGCUCCAUCCCGGUAGAGGUGGGCCUGGGUUCCCGACGGCCCCCGACUGUUACUUUGUGGCGGAGCGACAUGGCAGGUUGAGACCACCUAGGAGAGAGGUGGGCCUGGCCCUGUUCGGCGUUCGCGGAUAUUUAACACGCUUAACGAGAUCUUGGUAUUUGAUCUGAGUUGGCUACGAGCCUAUACGCACUAACCAUCUACGUGGGAGUAGUUAUGGGUAUCCCGGCGUCGUGGUAUCAGCCGAAGCACUUCAGACGUCAGCGACGGAGCGGCGCGCGCCGGAUUGGAACGUAAGCCUGCUCUUGUAUUAAGGGGGCUAGUUCUGCUUUCGGCCGCCCUCGCAACGUGCAGGUGUGCUAAGGGUGAUGGGCCCAGACCCCUGUGCGCUUAGGUUUAGACCGGCGUGCUGACCUCUCUGUUGUGUCUAGGUGGGGCUGUGACGUGUUGAUCUUCCGAGGCCGGGCAUGACCCAGGAAAGUGUGUCCGGCCAAAUGGGAUCGAGCGUGUUGGGUAAGUUGGUGCACCCCUGCAGGGAAGUUAAUCUAUUCGAAUAGCCGUGAUCUUCGGUAACAGGACGACUUGGAGUUGUACCUUGACCUUAUGACAACUAGAACCGGAUACUUAAUAAAACACACCCUUCCAAGUUCCACAGACAACCCGGUGAUCGCUUUUCUACAGGGCGACGAGGAGAGGAUCGCCGGGUAGGAUUAUGCUAUACGAUGCUACUUGGAGAUGCUACUUGGAGGACUUCAAUCUACUCUCUUCUACAUGCUGCAAGACGGAGGCUGCCAGAAGCGUAGUCUUCGAUAGGACUAGCUAUCCCCCUCUUAUUCUGGCAUUCUGCAGUUCAGUCCACUGAUAUGGCCUCCUUACACAUAUACCCAUGCAUAUGUAGUGUAGUUCCUUGCUUGCGAGUACUUUGGAUGAGUACUCACGGUUGCUUUCUUCCCCCCUUUCCCCCCUUUCCUUUCUUUCUGGUUGUCGCAACCAGAUGCUAGAGUCCAGGAGCCAGACGCCACCGUCGACGACGACCCCUACUACACCAGAGGUGCCUACUACUACGUGCAGCCCGCUGACGACGACCAGGAGUAGUUAGGAGGAUCCCAGGCAGGAGGCCUGCGCCUCUUUCGAUCUGUAUCCCAGUUUGUGCUAGCCUUCUUAAGGCAAACUUGUUUAACUUAUGUCUGUACUCAGAUAUUGUUGCUUCCGCUGACUCGUCUAUGAUCGAGCACUUGUAUUCGAGCCCUCGAGGCCCCUGGCUUGUAUUAUGAUGCUUGUAUGACUUCUUUAUGUUUUAGAGUUGUGUUGUGAUAUCUUCCCGUGAGUCCCUGAUCUUGAUCGUACACAUUUGCAUGCAUGAUUAGUGUACGAUUGAAUCGGGGGCGUCACACCCCGCUCCCCCGUUCACAUGAAUCCCAACAACAUCAUGCGAGUUCUAUGCUUGUAUACUCUAUACUUCAAACUAUCAUCAUGUUCAUUGCCAAAAGUAUUGGUGAAUCCCGUGUUUUCAGAUAAUAGCAAGGUUUCUCCUUGCAUGAUCAGAUGGUGCUCUCUAGAUCUAACUUACAGUGCAAGUAGUCCAUUUAACACCAAGUCAGAAGAAAUAAACUAUAUUCAUCCAGGUGAUGCCAUUCAUUUGCUAAGUGGUUAUAAACAUUUUUUGGUCUGAUGCAUUUGCUUCUGAAUCAUGACAUGUGGUGUAGUUUACCUGGUUAUGUGCAUGUUCAUGUAAGGAGAGCAAGGAUCCCUGUGAGAUGCUAAUCUAUUUUUGCCAUUAAAUGACACUAUUGAUCACAAUCUUGCUACGGCAGAAACACUAUUGAUCCAUAGCGUCAUAAUUUUUUAUGGGUUAAAUAAUAGGGAUAUUAUGUCAAACAAUUGAAGCACAUUUUAUUAUUAGUGCAAUGCAAAUUGAUUGUGCAAUUUGGGAUGUAAGAGCACAUUUAGAUGGAAGUCGUGGUAAUAGAAUAGGAGUACUAAAAAUGUUAUGUGUGUUCUGUACAGAACGCUUCCCCUUCUAUUACAUGUCUUGGCCAUAUGCAAUCAUCCACCACAUCGGUAUCACUAAUCCCCGUUUGAUAGCAUAGUUUUUUCUUAGUAUUGUAAGAAUACUGCAGUUUUUUAAAAUACCAUGGUUUAAUUUACCGUGAGCUGUUUGGCAACCACAAAAAACUAAAGUAUUUAUACUGUGGUAUUGUCAAAACCGUGGUAUUUUCUCUGCAUUAAAAAAAGAACCCCAGACCUCUUUUUUAAAAACAGAGCACGCGAAAAAAACGAGCAUGUUCGUUAUCGCCUUCCGCGCUCCCAAGCCGUCGCUGCCGCCCUGAAGAUCGCUAGCCAUGGGACAAGCCAAGAUAAGGCAAUGGAAAGAAUAAUGGUGUACUUCCUACUCCCACUUGCGGUUCUCCUCUCCUCGCACGCGCCAUGUGUCAUGUUGGCCCAUGGCCACCUCAUGCCCAGAUUGCUCAUGUUGGCCCAUGGCCACCUCAUGCCCAGAUUGCUCAUGUUGGCCCAUGGCCACCUCAUGCCCAGAUUGCUCAUAACAUGACCGCGCACACUGUUGGCUGCAACACUAACUCACAACGCACUGCUGGAUGUGUCUGCGCAAGCCGUUGUGUGGGAUCAUAGCCACAACGUAUGUGUGCCAUGCUGCCAUGUCACGACCUUGCUCAUCGCUGCUUGUUGUGCAUGCCUUGCUCCAGAGCGUUGCCCCAUGCCUCAGCGCACCUUGCUCGCCGCUGCUUGCUGUACAUGCCUUGCUCCAGAGCAUCGUCCAAUGCCUCAGCGCACCUUGCUCGCUGCUGCUUGAUGUGCAUGCCUUGCUCCAGAGCGUCGUCCCAUGCCUCAGCGCACCAUGCUCGCCGCUGUCGUUCAAGUCACAGCCAAGCCAGAGCAACACCGCGCACUUUCGUGUGGCACUGUUGUGCACCCGCUGUCAUUGAUGCAUAGCAUGCGGCUGAGUCUGUUUAUGCAUGGCCGUUCAGUUUGCAACAACUGGUCAGCUAAGAUCGUCCAUGUUUGCACCUUUGCUAUGAAACGGCUAGCUAGCUAAUUUACAUUGUUGCAAACAUGCACCAGCCAAACACUCUCAUAGUAUUCCCGAUACUACAAAAUACUUUGAUAUGUCAAAAUUAUGGUUUCUAGUACUUAUCGACAAAAAUACCAUAGUUUCCAAUACUAUAGUUUCUGCAGUACUUUGCUAUCAAACACUGCAUGCUUUAAUCUGUUUUCAUGCGGGCCAAUUGGAAUUUCUCUUCAUUUUGUCGAAAAAUGGAUGUGUAACCUUUUGAUUAACCUGUAACAUUAAGCUUGUCUUGUAUCUACUUGAUUGGUUUUGCCAAAUAAUAUGAACACACACACUGAACAAAAUUUACAUGGAUUUACAAGAUGGGCAAUUAAUCUUAGUCUCCUUCCUCUUACACUUUUCAUAUGGUAUAGUUCUUAAUUAAGUUUAACAGGAAUCUUGAUUAUACUUUGUUGAAGUUGAGGUAGGCAUGAGGGCCGGGUAGAUUAAAAUUGCCACUAUUUGCAUAAGUAGCACUGCCAAAUGUAUUCUAAGGAUUUGGCCUCAAUCACUAAUUAUGAAGAUUCAGUUUUCAUUGUGCCCACUUGAUGCUGUCAGCGAGAUCCUUUAUGCCUUAUAAUUUAGGUUGUUGUAUUCUUUCCUACCACAUCCAUUGUGUUGCUUUGUUAUGCUAAAUUAACCACUUGAUCGGGAGUAUGCUAUCAGCAAUAUCCUUUAUGCCUUCUAAUUCAGGUUGUGUUAUUGUUUCCUACCAUGUCAAUUGUGUUGUUUUCUGAUACACGGGAAUUAGAGGAAGGAUGUUGGUUUGAACUUUAGACUUGUAUCCUGUAGCUAGCUUGCAUUUUGUUGACAUCCUAUCUGGUGCUUCUCCUCAUCAUUCAGAUAAGCAAAUGAAUAAUGACAUGCCAUACACGAAGGCUAUCUCCCAUAUUGUUGGAUCUCGAGUAAAUACUUAUGCAAUAUCAGUUUCUUGUUUUCAGAAACUUAAAAACAGUGGCAUACAAUAUUGUCUCACAGAACAGUACAAGCUCCUGCCUUCUAGAGAGCCGAUCAUACCUAUCUUGUUUGAUUUGAUGGAGGAUUAUGAAGGGUGCCAGAUCAAGAGAUCAUGUGCAAGUGAGUUUUUGAUUUUCUUUACUAUAUUGUUCAUAUAAUUUAACUAUUUAUUAUUAUUUUAUACAUGGACUUAUAGCUAUGUUGUUUACCUUAGGAGCAGCAGUGUCUUAGAACAUGUUUAUAAUUCAAGCAAAACUUGGUGACAUGUUUCUAAUUCGUGAUGGUCUGCAAGCUAUGAUUUAUGAGCCGAUAGAAAGUUUAAAUAUUUGUUACAUUUGGAAGGCCAGAAGGUGGUUUAGAAUAUUUUUGUUAUAUUCAUUGUAUUACUUGCUCUAUCUUGAGAAUGUAGUUGGUAUUGAAGUAUUACAUAUCCAUUAUGAAUAGUUUUAGACUAUUCCAUCGAAGCAUUUUGUCAUCAUGCAAAUUCUAUUAAAUGUAAUGACUUACAAUUAUGACUCUGAUGAUAUAUAUCUUCAGAAGAUGGUUAUAUUUGUUUGUUUUCUGGCAUGUUGAAACACUUAAGAAGUUAAUUGUUUGUUUUUCUGGCUCAAAUAUAUUAAUGAGAUUUCAUUAAAAAAUUAGGCAGUCAACUAUGGUUAUAACUUAAAAAGUUAGGUGUAUGCCACACAUGCGAUGUCCACAAUAGACUGUUAGCCUAUAAUAUCUGAAAUAACUGUUUGUAUUCAGUUCCAGCCCACCUAAUAGGACUGCUUGAUUAGAUCUAAAUCAAUUGUAUUGGCUGACACUAUCUCCAAUGGUGUUCUUUCUUUUGAAUUUUAUGGUAUGCCUGACCAAGCAUGAUCCUAAUCUAAUAACUGUUACCCUUUUACAGAAUAGAAAGAUCCAGAAAUUUUCAUACCUAGAGGACCUCGCCUGCUUGGUGCUCCUUGAUUACAGAAGGUACUCCUCCGGAAUAUGUCCUCCAAGUCUGGGUAUUUUGAUCCUUUGGUAUAUGUGAUGGGCGAAGGGAGAGUAUGGAGGGGGAUGAGGGAUGGCAUAGGAGGUUAACAUAUAUAGGUAGGAAAUUAAGGGGAAGGCUGGGUAGUAGAUAUCUUCCCAGUUCUACCAUAUAUAUUAAUGUAUGGUGCAGAUAUCUUUCCUUUUUUCAUCAGACACACACCUCAUAAUAAAUUAGAAAAGAUGUCAGAAAUCAGAACUUACUAAAAUACUAAAAUGUUGUAUUAAUUUCCUAAACAACUGAUCAUGGCAGAGAAGUUACUGAUUGCAUGCCAUAUAACAAUGAAAUAUCUUAUUUGUAUAUUUAAAUAUUGUUUCUAUUUUUAUUAUUGUUCAGUUUGAAAAGGUAAACAUGAACUUUCUAUAUAAUUUAUGUGUAUUUAAUCAGUUCAACGUGUACUAUAAAAGUUCAAUUAACAAACAAAUAAUCUUAAAUGUUUUGUUUCUGAAAGUUGGCAAUUAACAACCUUCUGAUUUUGUUGUAUGCACAAUUAAAAUCGACUGGGUACGAGCGGCCGUAGGUCACAAGGGGGCGUGGAACUGCUGCAGCCAAUCUCAGAUAGAGUAGACUCCAGCGAAUUUGACCAUCCAGGUACAUCCUCUACACGACUAAACGAACGCAACUUGAACAAAAUUUGACUUGAUUAUUAUAGUAGCUUAGUAGUAGUAGGUUACUGCACUCUUAUUUAUGUUGAACAAUCACUGCACCGGAUAUGCAAGCCUGGGAUUAUAUAUGUGUGGGGGUCUGUGAUAUUGUGAGUGGUCUGACUAUGUUAAGCUUGAUGAUAUUUGCACAAACUGUGUAAGACAAACAGACUGUUUGAUUUGUUAAUUUCUCUUUGACGCGCAAAGCAAAAUGCAUCGUUGUCUUGGUUGGCUAGGAUCAAAUUAACCAACCAAAAUUUAUAAGUUAUAUUCUCUAAUUAUAGUGUUUUUCCUAAAUUGCUUGAUGGUUUCCUCACUUGAAAUAUUAAUAUUGCUAAGCUCAAUCAUGGUAUGAUUGCAUUGUUUUUAAAAAACCAAUGGCGUUAAGCACAUUUAUAAGUUCAAAUGUAUUUGGCUGUUGAAUAUCAGUCUUUUUUUAAUCAAAAUUAUUAUGAAUAUACUUCGGUGUUGUGGUGGCUCUUUGAUUUCCCUAUACAAAUGUCUGUUUUUAGUGCAAAUGUGUUCCUUGAUCAACUAAACUUGGUGAAAGUACAAUCUGGGGGAGCCUUGAAGCCUUCUCAUGUAAGAGUAUAAUCAACUCAAUUUUGAUAAGUGAGUCCAUUACAUCAUUCUAAUAGGAUCAAGUUACACUUUAAUUUGUAGGCAAAGCAUGCAAACAUGAUCGUUGGAUUUCAGUAAUACUUGAAAUGAGGUAAAUACGUUCCAUCACACUAUGAUUUACGACAACUGCUUUUCUUUGAUUGCUGAUGUUGAUAAGUAGGCAUUGGCGUGAUACUUAUAUGUAGUUCUUAUUGGCAAAUAUAUAGUUAGGGAUCGUAUUGUUUUUAAGGCGUCUGUAAGGACUUGCAAGCUCAAGGCGUCCAGCUUGCCUUAGGUACCUGAGUAAGGCGUCCGACUUAAUCUUUAAGGCGUCAGAAGCGCUGCUAAGGCGUUCAGGUUGGCGCCUUGAUCCAGAUUGGACGCUUUGAGCUUGCCAGACAGGCAGGGAAGUAGUUUUAGGCAGGAAACAGCCCCCCUUCUACACCACCAUCCUCUGCUCUUGAUGAUGCUCAUGUUAAGUUGUUCAUUGCUUGCUAUUAUCAGUUGCUCAAUGCUUCCUGCUUUGCUGGUUGCUCUGCUAGCUGCUUUGUUGUAUCGCAAUAGAAAAUUCACGACGUGCACAGUAACAUAUCUACUAUUAAAGUGGUUUUGGUUUUUUACUGUACGUACUGAUCAAUAAGAAAAACCAUUCCUCUCUCAUUUUUGUUACUAUAUUCAGGAACACACAAAAUAUAAUCAGCGCUUAUUCGCUAGCUGGAAUUGAAGGCAACGACGAGAGAGGAAGAUCAAGGACAACUUCAAAAUAAAAUAAUAUAUUCAAGGUACGUGUCGUAUGACCGUCAUUAGUUUAUUGGCUACUCUCUAGCUGGAAUGUGAUUAUUACCGACGAAGAAAACCUCGUAUAGUAUAACAGUGUGUGUAUGGAUGGAGUUAUACUAUACGAGGUAGUAUAUGAUGUGAGGCACGGAAUGUCUGAAAACAUCACCUGGUCUACUUUAGGUAUGUUGUGAACCUGCCAUGGUACAACACAAAAGUACUACGGUUCACCUGAAGCACCAAACCUGGUCCAAACUGGUCUAGAAUUAAAGAUAAAUAAACAACCAAAAUAGCUAGUGGAUGCCACCAUCAAACACUCUUUAAACUUUAAAAAUAUUUCAGAAAAUGUCAUCUGAUAAUCUUAUCAGCACGGGCAUUCAAACAUAUUAUUACCUAGCAAGCAACUAAACAUGAUAAUAUUUUUAGGUAUUUAUCGAUGCAGCAGUCCUCCUUAGCCACCAAUAAAUCUCAACGCUGCUCUAACUUGAUCUGGAAUGUUAUCCUUUGCUUCAUUCUCCCUGACCAUGAACAUCUGGACCAUUAGUCGCUUCCUGAGACUUUGUGGAUCCUUCAAAUUAAGCAUAUAAAAGUCAGAAGAUAUAUUUAGCAAAUAUAUGAAAGCUGUAACCUCAUUACAAAUGCACUUACAUCAGUCCUAGGCAUGUUAUGAACCAUGUCAUUCCCGAUAGUUUCAUACAGAUAGGCCAUCUCCUGUAAAACUUUGAAUCCGGAGUCCAUGUUGUCACAAAAAAAACAAUAUUGUAAUAGCUAUAUUAUAACACACACUAAUAUCUAAGACAAAUUUAAAACAGUACCACCUAGGUGAAACAUGAAUAUUCUCUUGUUCGGGCCAUUCCAGAAGUUGGCUGUUCCUAUCAGGGGCCUCCUGUUGCAAGAUAAAGCUCAAUUCUUGCUUCACUAAAAGGGCUUCCCUCUGAAGUUCAGUGUCAUGGAAGUCCUCCUCAAAAUGAAAUAAAGCCUGGUUUGAAUAAUCAAUAACGAUAGUCCUCUCCAUUUCCAUUUUCACUGCUAAAAGACCGUAUGACGAAUCCACGUGUGCCAGUGGGAGAAUAUACUGCAUUUGGUAGACAAAGGUAAAUGCCAAACAAAAUAACCAAAAUAAUUUCUAACAAUGAGAAAACUUACAAUUGUAGGGGUGUGAAACACGUCGUAUCUUGGAAAGGUUCAAGCACGACAUUGUUAAUGAGUGCAUUGGUGCGCUGUUCUUGGCUUAACCAAGUCUGCCUUAGCGCCCGUGCUUGCUCAUGGAAUCCCAAAUUGAAAAAAUGUGUCUUUCCAACAGAGCUGGUGCCUGCGGUCCUCUCUGCUGCGUCGGUAGUAAUCUUACGCACGGCAAGAUUGAAGCACAACGGAUGGGCAACUCCAUCUCCUCUGAUGGUGUCUCGGAUGAUCCGUAGGCUAAUCUUGAUAGGGAAUGGGCGGGGGCUAUAAAUCCAGAUUGUGCUGUCAAAAGGAAGAACAAGGUUCAUAACAGUCAUAAGUUUAAAUAAACGUAAACUCAAACAAAUGAACUGUGUUGGUGUCUAUAACAUAUGACUAAUUUAAUGAUAAUACAUAUCACAUCAAAUCACCUAAAAAAUUUGCAAUCUCUACGUAAGUUUAGUAUUUUUAUAUUAUGCACGAGCAAUAAAUUAAACAGAUUGCAGUGAUUUCAUAGUAGCUUAUCACUUGUUCAAUAUUGUUGGGAGUGACUGGGAUGGACUUAUAUGAGAACUUGUAUAAAAAAUAUACAUGUAUAGGGCAGUGGACCUAGACGAUGAAGUGCAAACAAGAUUAGAUAUUUAGGGUUGUGAGAACUUACUCUAGUUGUUCUUCGUCUGAGGAAAGCGUGAUGAGAUCAUACACCGAAAAUUGGCAUUGCUUCCAUUACUAGGGCAAAACAUCGGUCGUAGCACCGGAAAAGCGAGGAGGGAUCAGUGGACGACGGUUAUGUCAGGACCCGUAGGAUUAUAUAUUGAGUAGAGAUGAUGGCCGCAGGGAACGUUCCCCUUAACGUUCCAUAUUUGCAUGUUUCCGUAAGAAAAAACUAUCAUAAAUUAAGGCAAGAUCUUUAUUUUGAUUGCACUAUGCAGAUAAAUCAGAGACAUAUUAAAUGUUUCCUAAUAUAUGCCUCCCUUUCCCCAGAACUUUCCCAAUCGAAAAAUAGAAAGAAACAUGAUUUAGUAUUUCGCGAGCGAUAGCUGCAACGCUCGAUGCCCACACGGAAAGCGAUCGCUACACCCCCAUAAUUUAACCGGUGGGCCCUGAUGUCUUUCCCUAAUAAAUCUUAAUAUUAGUUUUCAACGGUGUGGCCCGGUGGCUUUCCUCUAAUAAAUCUUUCCCCAUCUGGAUUCAAGCGUUGGGCUCCAUGGGCAACAAAACCCUGGGCAAAGGUAGGGACAGCACCCGGCCAUAGGUAUGUGGUACCUGCCCCAUAUUGGACCCGGACAGCGCUAGAGCGGCUGCGACAUUAUUACAUGCCAGAGGGCAAUGUUCAAUUUAGAAGGAACUAAAAUCCAAAUAAGAAAAGUUUGAAUCUCCCUAAAGAGCACUCCACUUGGAAUUUUUGAUAGCUUGGACCAGUUGCAUUGAAGCCUUCUCACAAUCCACUCAAUUUUGAUUACUAAGUCCACUGCGUGAUGGCAAUAGGGGCCAGCUCCACUUUAAUUUGCAUGCAAGCAUGCGGCACAUAAGCCUUGAACAUGAGGUAUUUACUUUCCAUCAGCCUAUGACGUAUUUACCACAUCUGCUUUUUUUAGAGCUGAUAUUGAUCAGUAGGCAUUGCCAAAUAUAAUUCAUGACUUCACGGUUAAAUUCACAUAUCCUGGUUGGACUUACACAAGUGUCGGCCCAUGCUAGGAAGUAUGAAUGUUAUACACAAUGAUAGCGUGUGUAAAAUUCAAUGGUAGAGGAAGUGACAGGGGAUUUAUAUGAAUGUUCCACUUUGUACAUCUUCGAGGUAAAGACAGUAGCUACAGAAACAGGUAGUGGAACAAUGCUGCUGCCGAAGGAUGUAAAUAUCCUAUGCACGCACAUGCAUUUGCCUAGUAUAGGAAAAACAUUAAAACCCUGGCGACUCAUCUCAUCUUGCGUCAAACCCUAUUAGCCCUGUACAACUUCCCAAAUGGGGCUCACUGCUCAUUCAUGGUAGACAAACGAAUGAUUCGUUCGUGACAUUCCAACAAAAUCAAUUAACAAUCCAAAAAUAUGGUAGAAACACCAAACUUCAAUAGUACCAAAACACCAUAAAGUUUGGAUAGUUUGAUAAUACCAAAACAUCAUAAAAUUUUAAAACAUACGUGUUUAUCAAAUUAUUCAUAUCAAAAAUAAAUUAUUAUCAAAGCGAUCCCUAACAAAGCUGAAGUAUAGGAAAAUAUUUUCGGCAUAGCUGCAUGCAUCAGUCCAUCUUCAGUUGCUCAAAACCCUCAAGGCCGAUCUAAUCCCUGCCGGGAUGUUUGGACUUGCUUCAUUGUCUUUGACCAUUAGCAUCUGGACUAUAACUUGGUGUCUGAGCUGUAUUGGAUCCUAGGAAAGGUGCAAAAACUCAAUCAUUUAAUAAAUUGGUUGAAUAAUAUUUAGCACACAUCAACUAAUCAUAUAUGUACUUACCCUAGUGUUCAUCCAGCCCAUGUUACGCAUACAACCAAUCUGAUGGGCCAUCUCCUGUAGGACAAAUAAGCCAGAGUGUUUGCUGCGACACAAAAAAUGAAAUAUUAAACACUAUAACAGUAUGCAUCUUAUGUAUGCGAUCAAUUUAGUAGAUUACCCACGACCAGCAGAGGACAUUGUCUCUUGUUCCCAAUCCAUGAUUAGGGUAUUCCAACCAGGGAUCCUAGUCUGCAACACAUUGUUGAAAUCUUCCUUCAGCAAUGUGAUUUCCUUCCUCAUCAAUAUGUUAUGAGUGCUAUCUUCAGGAUCAAACGUGUUGAAGGAUGGAUCCAUCACGACAACCCUCCUCCUCAGCCGGUUGACUACAAGUAACCCGUACGAGGAAUCCGAAAGUUUCAACGGUAGUAGAUACUGUGGCAGGUCGAGACAUGUCAAUUGCUAUUAUAAUAAGUAUAACUAACUAUAAGAACGAGCGUCUCUUACAAUUAUAGAGUUGAACACAUCAUAUUUAGGAAGAGGCUGGACCACAACGUAGUUAAUCAGCGCCGUGAUGCGCUCUCCUUGCGUCAUCCAGGAGUACCUCAGGGCCUGUGACUGAGCAUGAAACUGCAAGUCGAAAUAAUGUUUGCUUCCAACCCAGUUGGUGCCUGCGGUCCUCUCUACUUCAGCGCUAGCAAGCUUACGAACAACAAGGUUGAAGCAUUCAGGAUGAAGUUUUUUAUGAAAAAUGGGUGUCCUGAAUCAUUCGGAGGCUGAUUUCGAUCUGGUACGGCCGGGCGCUUCUUAUCCAUAUUGAGCUGCAAAAGAAAUGCACAACAACAUUUAGCAAAGGACAUCAAUGGUCCUCUUCCAGUUUAACUUUAUUCGGCAUGGCAUAUAUGGAUUUUUUAAUGAGAACCUCGUCUCCUUGCUUACCCGCCUGGCCAUCGGAAGGAAUUAAUUACCUUGGUCAAUCAGCGAAAGAAAGAAAUGAUCUAGUUCAUCAUCACAAUCCUUCCUAUUAGUUUCAUUAAAUAAUUCAGCCCCAGAGUGUUGGCAAUCAAGGGCCAAGAAAUAAUCCCAAGUCUAUCCUAUCUCGCCACGGUCGAAAGCAAAUCCAUGUCUCUUCCUAUACCGAAAUCGUCGUUUCAUAGUCUAUACUAACCUAUAAACCAAAUUCAUGGUUAGAUUGCAUGACAUUGCACGAGGUCAGAUUGUCCCCACCUAGAUGUAUCUACAUGUAUCAAAUCUAGAACCUUAAUUCAUGGCAUUUGCAUGACAUUGUUCAUGUAUAAGGAUUCAGCUAAAAAACGUAUAAAUGUACCUAUCUUAGUUUGCUGUGUACCAGAGUGUUCCUACAUGAUUUGUAUAUAGCACAAGAAUGUAUAAUAAGACAACUUACUUUAAUGUAUCUUGGUCUCGAACGCCCAUGAUAAAGUGAAAUAUGUAUUGGAGUGCAUCUUCCACGACAUGCAUUGGUGGGGGGAGAAGAUCCAUGGGCGCAGGCACAUCCUCCUAGGGCACAGGAACAUCCUCCUGGUGCGCGGGCGCACCCUCUUGGGGUGCGGGCGCAGCGUUCCCAAUUAUCGCCUCCAUGGGAUAGAAAAUUCGUUAUUGAUCGGAAAUUGAUGAUGGGGUAUCUGUGAAGUUGGGUGGGUGGUGAAAUAGGACGCUGGUGGAAUUUAUCAAAUUGUUACCGUGACAUCUAAUUGUUUAGAGAGUUAAUAUUGCCUUCCAAAUGAUGAACGUCAUAUAAUUAAAUACGUUAUUCAUUUCCUUGUACAAAUUAUUUCCAAUCGUGUUAGGAUCAGAUCUUUCUCCCAGUAUUAGAUAAUAACUUCCCAAUACCAUAAUAUUCAGCCAUCAAACGGAUUAUUCCCUACGUAUAUAUAACUCAUAGGCAACUGCCCGUGCGUUGCAACGGGGUAUAUAUAUUUAGCUGUUCAACACCUAUAUCGCAUAAUAUAACCUAUAACAUGUGGAAUAAUCUAUAGCUUCAAUUAUGCAAAUAAUGCCAACUGCUUUUACAUGUAAUGUUCCAUAUUUUGGUCGUUGGUAUAUCUCCCUGAAUUUGAGUUAUAAAAUACGUUUUUGCUAACAUGUGGAAUAAUCUAGAACAUGUGGAAUAAUCUAUAGCUUGAAUUUGAGUUAUAAUAUAUGUUUUUGGUAACGAACAUAUAGUUGUGCUUUAAGUAGUAUUGCACAUAUAAAUCACAUGUCAUUGUUUGUGCAUCAAGAUUGAUGUGGGUAGCUUUUUUCUUUAUUUUUAUGUUUGAGUGGUUCAUAUAAAUGUGCAAUAACUAAGACACAUCUAGUUAUGCCCCUGACAUACACAUUUCACGCCUUCUUGAAAGAAAUAUCAAGAUUUAUCAAUAAAAUACAUCACUACUAAGUAUUGUCAUAAAAUAUUAGUGCAUGAAACACCUAACAUUGGCAUUUUAUUCCCGCAAAUAUGCAAAGAUCAAGUAAGAGUUUACCAUGCUCAUAUUAUUGCGAAAACUAAGAUUAGUAAGUGAAAAAUAAUGCACGUAUUGUUUGCUAUAUUUUCCAAUUGGAACAAUAUCCUUCCAUGCGCGCCAUGGGCGCACCAUCGUGUUAGGUUCAUGGACCACAGGACUAAGCAGUAGGGUGGUCUCUCUAUCUCUCCCUUUCUAUGGGAUAAUUGUAACAUGAUCUCAAACACCGAGAAUGAGGCCUUAAUGAAUCCUUUGUCUGAUGAAGAUCUGGGAGGUCAUUAACUCUGCCAACCCGAAGGCAGCCUCUUGGCCCUGAUGGGUAUCCUAUUCCCUUCUUCAAGAAGUGUUGGCCUUAGCUGCAUCAGCUGAUGUGUCAAAUCAUUCAAGGUUUCUAUGUGGGGACAAUUGACAUUUAUCGCCUUAACUAUGUUCUCAUUACUCUUAUUACUAAAGUGAAAUGAGCUGAGCGUUGUGAUUUACGACAAGUGCUUUUAUUUUAGCACUGAUGUUGAUAAGUAGGCAUUGACGUGUUAGUUAUAUAUAGUUCGUAUUGCCAAUUAUGUAGUUCAUGACUUUACUGUUCUAAUUGACGUUAACGCACGGGAGUUAUAGGGUGCGUCACAAAACAAAUGUUUAAUAUAUCCAAAAAAAGUAUUUAAACCUAUAUAUACCAUCCAAUGCAUUUUAUAGAUAUCCCUAUUGCCAAAUAGAUAAUUCUCAAUACGAUCCCUAACAAAGAUGUAGUAGCCAUUUAUUUGCGACAUACGAAAAUGCAAUGGACCAUAGUCAGUCGUUCAAAACCCUCAAUGCCGCUUUAAUUUCAUCUGGUAUGUUUCCAGCUGCUUCAUUGUUUUAUCGUCAACAUCUGGACCAGUAGGUUCUUUCUGAGCUGUAUUGAAUCCUAGAGAAGAUGAAAAAAUAGUAAUUUAUAAAUUGCUGCAAAAUAAAUCGCAUGAUAAACCUCGUUAUUGUGUACUUACAUGAGUGGUCUUCCUGCCAGAAUUAGUAGUACCGUUCUGGUGGGCCAUCUCCUGUAGGACAAGGAAAGCAGAGUCUUCGCUGUUACAAAAAAAUGAACUAUAUUAAAACUAUAACGGUCGGCUUAUAACGCGUGUGAUCGAUUUACUAUAUUACCGCCUGUCGUUUGAAGAGAUGCCAUGCGUUGACCAGUCCAUGAGAUUGGUAUUCCAACCAGGGAUCCUCAUCUGCAACACAUUGUUGAACUCUUGUUUCAACAUUGUGAUUUUCUUCCUCGUUUCAGUGUUAUGAAAGUUGUAUGGUCCAUCAUAGACGUCGACUGAUGGAUCAAUUGGGAGAACCCUCCUAGUUUCCUUGCCGACUACAAGUAGUCCGUACGAAGAAUCCACAAAAACAAAUGGUAGUAGAUACUGUCGUAAAUAGACACAUGUUAGUACAAAAUAGAAUAAGCAAAUUAAAUUAUAAUGAUGAGUCUCUUACAAUGUUAGAGUUGAACACAUCAUAUUUAGGAAAUGCCCGAACAAUGGCAUUGUUAAUCAGCACUGCGGUGCGUGUUUCUUGCUCCAUGGAAGAGUGUCUGAGGGCCCGUGCCAGAGAAUGAAACUGCAAGUCGAAAAAAUGUUUGUUUCCAAGCAUUCUUGUAUCUGCAGUGCUCUCUACUUCAGCGCUCGCAAGCUUACGAACUGCAAGAUUGAAGCACUCAGGAUGAAUUAUUCCAAAAAGGCUAAUUGUUUCCUGGAGCAUCCGUAGGCUGAUUUCAAUCUGAUAUGGCCGUUCGCUUCUAAUCCAGAUUGUGCUGCCCAAAAAAUGCAGACCAAUCUUUACCAAAUAACAUCCAUCCAUCUCUGUAUCACAUUUAGACUAACUCUUUUGUAUAAUAUAACGCAGUAAAAAAAGUUACUUAAUAAUGUUAUAACCUGGUAGCUAUUUUGUCUUUAAUAAUGUUAUAGAUGUAUAAAAAUAAUAUGGGCACAUGUACCAUAGGUAAAAAUGUGUGAUACAGAGGCACACAUAAAAUAUUUAACAACGGUGUAACAGUGCAAAAAAUAUAUACACUAAAAUAUAUAACACCUAGACAACCAAACAUAAUAUAGUGGACUAUCAUGGUUAAUUAUGUCUAGCCUGUUGUGUUGCCCAACUGAUAUCUAGCUUGAUGUGUACGAGAGUAAUAUGAAGAGCUUACUUUAGUGCCUCCUCGUCCUGGACAACAGUGAUAAAUUGAAAAAUGUAUUCGACGGCAUCUUCUACGGCAUUAACGUUGCCCGCAACCUCCAGAGGGGCGGGCAAAGCCUCUUUUGGUGCGAGCUGAACAUCAACUGGCUCAUGCACAGCCUCCAUUGAUGAGAUUCGUGAGUGAUCGAAAAUUGGUGAAGACUCGAGUGGGUGUUGAAACAGGAGCUCGUCGGAGGUUAUAUGAAGGGAUAAGUUCCUGUUUGGCAGCUGCAUCAUAUAGACUUAUGUGCCUUCCAAAUAAUACGGCAACUUCCAUUGUUGAAAGCCAAAUAAUAAGCAAACUUUUAAUUACGCCUGAUUUUCAGCAUCGGAUGGUACCUAAGGCAGAUGGAAGGUGCCCAUAUCAUUCCAUCCGUGCAUGUCUAUAUUAUUCAUUUCCUAGUAUAAAAUAUUUUGAGCUGCGGACGGAUCAUAUCUUGCACGCUGCCACAACCUGGAUCGCCGGCGCAUUGUUUCCAAUGAUGGGCUCCAUCGCUGAUCGAUACGCGUGAGUGAUCGUUCACUGAGGUGUCUUGGCAAUUAGGAUGUCGAUGCAGCAUAUAUAUAAACGGAUAUAUUAUUAAUGAUUUUUAUUGCCUGCCAAAUAUAUCAAGUCAUUUUUAAGACGUAGAUGGUUCUUUCUAAUUAUAAAAACAUGUGACGGGGGUGUAUCAGAUCUUUCUCCCUUUUUAUAGUUGAAUAUUUUGUUCCUAAGGCAUGCCAUAUUUACAGUUCAAUCUCAACGAAUCAGAAAAAAUCAACCUUUGUAUAAAACCAGAUAUCCCGAAUUAAGUACGCGUACAAUAAAUACAUACUGCCAUAAUGGCUACACUUAGAGUUGACAAGCAAAAAGAAAACACACUUUAACAGAAAUGAUUGUUCUGUGUGAAUACAUUAUUAUUCCAAAUGUAGAUAAAAGGACCGAGGGAAACGAGCUUUUUAUUCAGCCGUGUUGAAAAACAAAGUCAUCUACUGUCCAUUUUUCCUGGCUACAACUGCAGCAUUGACGUAUGAUAGUGUUUCGUCAAGUGUCAUUAAGAAGGCUUCGUGGAUAUCUACGAAAAAACAAUUUGUUAGUACUAAUAACAUCGUAAUACAGAAAAGAACAAAAAGCCAUAAAAUCGAAAUAGUUUAUAGAAGUUACCUUGAAGAUGAUGAACAUCUUCAUUAAUGUCGGGGGAGAACAAGAAUGUGCUCUCCCUCAUAGUCUCCACGCACUUAUCCCUCCGGUUUACCUGUAUGUACGUAACUGCAAUUUUCUCGAACAAAUUUUCAGUGCGCUGCAAGUGGUACAAGUGACGACCAGCAUGCUCUUGACUUAGGCGUAUAAAAAGUAUCUCCCGUCUGCAAUGAUAAAGAUAUGUUAAUGGUAGGCAACUAUCAAAUAUUAAUAAUCAUAUAAAACCUCAAGUACUGAUUGGAGUUUACCGAAAAUUCAUGAUGUCUAUCUCAACAAAAUGGACCUGCCAUCUAUAUACUGAAUCCCACCUAUGUUGUAUCCUACCAGCAUAGACAAGAAUACCAAGAACAUCUGGAAAAAAUUAAGUCUGGGUGAGACAAAAUGUUAAAUCGAUAAAUAUGCAAAAACAAAGUAAAAGAUGUUGCACCGGUAAUGGUUUUGUCUCGUAGCAAGGAUAUGGCACCAAGUUGUGGGAAAAAAGGUGGACAGAUUGUUGAUGCAAUAUUGUGCACCGAUGUCCUAACCAUGGUUAUAGCAUUUAGUUCAAUGACAAACUCCAUGCAUAGAUACCAGAAGUGACCAUCUAGCAUUUCCCUGGGGUUUAUCCCGAUGUUACUGAAGUCAUAUGUUACCCCGGUCUGCAGAAUGACGUUGAAUCGAUAAGCUUGGUUGCUGAAGGCAAUUGCUUCAAUCUUUGUUCCCUAGAAAUUUUAAAAAAUUAAGAUAACAAGACUUUAGAACACAUGCGUAUAUACAUUAAAAAAGAUUGCUAUAUUUAGUGAUCACUAAUCUCAUACUUCCUGGUCCAGAAGUAUGCAACAAAAGUAUGGGUUUCCCAUUGCAUGCACCCUGAUAUGGGACUUCCACAUCACCUUAGCCCGAAUGAUCCAACAUCUUUGAUAGAUAUGUUCCAUCUGUACACUUUGAAGAUUCAGGUACCUACAUAAAAUAACCCGAAAUGAUGGGAUAAACAAACGGUGAUGUCAGAUAGGCGUGCAUGAAGAUCUGUACACUUGCCUGUUCAUCGGAGGGAUGGUAGGGCAGAGGCAUGAUGGGAUCCGGUGGAUUCGCUAUCACCCUCCUCGAGGGCCUCGAGCUGUACGAUAUCACCAUGGUCAGGGAGCUAAUGGAUGAAGUGUUAAAGAAAGAUAGAGGGGCGCAUGGGCACGGGUAGUGGCAUUUAUAUAUAUAGUCCAAGGGGCCCACAGGCGGGAAAAUCAAAAUUCUUUCAAUAUUUGCAUGUGGCCGUCUAGCGAAAAAAAACCUCUACUAUCGAAACUAUUAUAAAUAGUAAGUUAUGAGAGUUCUUUGGCAACAAAAAAUUUAUUGCUAAAACUUAUUGAAUCAAUUAAUUAUUUAUAGAUAUUUGAGAUUCUUAAUCUGAUCGAAAUCAUGUCAACUAUCUCACCAGUAUCAUUGUUUCCUUUUCGCUUGUGAAUACGCUAUAUUCAAUAUAACAAACUGCGGGAAUAUAAUGAUGACUUCAGAUUUUUAGUUAGGAACGCAAUAAUUGGAUAUAUCAAAAUAAUUAAGGUGAUAGUGCGUUAAGGUAAGUGUAGUCACACAAUUAAUAUAUUACCAUUAAUUACCAUUAAUUAGCAACAUGCUGCAAUUUCAAAAAUAGAUUAUUUACUCAGCUUUUAUAAUACUAUAUGUUAUUUUAUAAAAUCCCAACAUAUUUGAUUUCAUUACAUGUGAUGAGACGUCGUUGUGUUACUUUGCAACGACUAUUUUACGGGCAUUUUAAAAUAGUAACCAAAAAUUAAAUUGAAGUUAUUAGCAAUAGUAAUAAUUUGUUUAGUGGGUCUUUGAUGGCUUGAUUCAUUGGUCGCGGUUGCAUGCACAAUUGAGUAAGCGCGUGAGAAGCUAACUUCGAUCUGUUUUUUAAUUGGCGUUUCUUUUUUAAUUUGAUUAUGUAUGCACAGUGUAGUAACAGCCGCACUUUCAAAACCAGCAUGCUUAAUUGAGAAGCCUGUGCAUUUUGUGACGUAAGUUAGUUAAUAUAGCACAAACGCAGUCAAUGCCAUUUGUAAUAAAAAGAAAAUUUCGAGGGAGGUACAGAUUACAGCAUUUGUACCACGUAUUUCAUGUAAGAAAAAGAAAAUUAUAGCAUGUUAGGCGACAAAGCUCAAAGGGAAGAUAAAAAAUAGAGAGUAAGAAAGGAAGCAUUAAACAAUAUAUGUUCUUUAUUCAUACUUUCAUAGUUUGACUCCAAAUCGAUUACAAUGCAAAAUGCUCUUAAGGAGCGUUGAAACAUAAAACAUAAAAAGCUGUAAAGAAUAUUGUAUAACUCCUCAUGAUUGCUCCUUUCAAGGCAUUUCCGUCUUCCUGUCGCAUGCUUGCAUGUGCUUCACAAACAUAUGUUCCAACUGAUUGAUCUUCUUUAUGAGAGUUUGCAUCAGCUUAUUGCUCUCCUUGGUUGGCUGCAGAAUUUGAUCGUUUCUAGUACCCCAACCGUCCCCCAAACCUUCUUCCCUAUCGUCUUUCGUAAUGGGAUAUGUACUACUAAUAGGCAGGUUAAUAGGCUCGACGUGAUUAUGCAUCCUAAGCCUUUUUCGCUUUGGUGUGUUACCCUUACCAAAGGGACACAUCAGCGUAGUGCCGUCAUGAUCUUCCAGUACACCGAGAUCUUCACUUUCUUCUUCCUGCCAACGAAUAUCCUCGACAGCAUCAUCGCUGAAGCAAAUUGAACUGUUGGAUGACGCCAUGUGAGAGGAGGAUGGAGUGUCAAUAUAUCGUUUAACUUGUUCAAGAGAGGUCUGGUAAGGUAGCUGGAACGGUUGAUCAAUAUAUAAGCGUUUCUAGGAAGCUCUGAAUACGAAAUCGGUAAACAAAUCGACCAAUUUGGUCACAAUCAAAUAUUAAUUAAUGGGAUCAAUUUUGUGAUUCGGUGAAUAGAACCUACCAUAUGAUUACAAGACAAAAAAGAUAACCUGUCUUAAGAUUUCAUGUGUGAUAAACCGAUUACGAAUGUUUUUAAAAGGAAGCAAAUAAAAUAGUUAACAUGCACGUAUUGUACAUUUUUCAAAAACACUUCUAAAAUUUCCUUAUACAUGGGAUUUUGUUAAAACUAUGUUGAAACCUGUUUUCUCAAAUGCAUUAACACUUCAUUCAAGUUUGUGCCAGCUCUUACAUUUACUUCAAUUUCCUUAUUCAAAGAGGAAUGAGAACAUCAAAAAAAUAAACAUGAAUUAGGGAAAUAAAUAAAAAGAAACCUUGAUAGCUACAGCUGUACAUGAAAAAUAUACAACAUUUAAAACUGGGUGGAACCAAAGAAAUAUUACACACUCAUACACACUCAUAAAGCUCAAGGCAGUAGGCCAACAUGUAAGAUUUUAGCCAUUUAAUGAGCAUGUAAAUAAAUGUAUCACACACACUGAAAUUCAAUGUAUCAAAUAUAACCUGCAUGCUAAAUGAUGACAUGACAUGCAUGCUACAGGUUUUAAUCAAACUAUACAAAGUAAAUGUAACAUGUAGCGGCUCUAUAUGAAGCCAAACAUUAUUUCGGAAUCUCAGAUUACAAAUAACACGGUACACUGUGUGACAUGUACAUUGCCAGAAACAUUGUGAUAGUGGAAAGCAAAUAACAGUGAUAAAGGUAAAAAAUUAAUUAAACAUGAUGCAGAUCUUCAUGAAGCCAAUCAUUAUUUCUGAUUCUAGUAUUACGCAUAACACAGUACGCUGUGUGACAUGUACAAUGUCAGAUUACACAUAACACAGUAUAAAUUUAUUGAAAUGCAGUUAUUACUUGAACUAAUUGGUGUAUACCUCUAACAACCAAGACUCCAAAUGAAAAAAUAUGUCAUAGAACCGAAUUACAGCAAUUCUUGACCAUCGGAAGAGUAAAUUGCAUAUAUAAAUCCAGCAGGUCUUAUAAGACCAGACUUCAGCCUGUAAGUACUUCCUUGUAGACGAUGUUCUUCAUUGAGGUCAGCAAGGACACGGUCGGUCUUUUACGCUUCUUCGGGUUGUUAUGUUGCUUGUUGGCCUUAUCCUUUGGCUUCUCCUUCUGAAUAAGUAUUUUAAUGUUUCUCUUCGCGGUGGCUCGAGACAAAGCAACAUAGAGUUGACCAUGAGAGAACACUGGAUUAGGUAGAUACACACCAACAAUGGGGAUGGUCUGCCCUUGAGCCUUGUUAAUCGUCAUAGCAAAGCUAAGCCUUAUAGGAAAUUGCUUCCUCUUAAACUUGAAAGGAAACAUGUCGUUGUCAGAUGGGCAUAGAGGUAUUCGAGGAAGGAAGACCCUCCUACCAUCGUGUUGUCCAAUCAUGAUUUCUGCAUCAAUGGUGUUCCUCUCAAAACUUCUAACAACAAGCCUAGUCCCGUUACACAGACCAUUAGCUGGAUCAAUGUUCCUUAUAAGUAUCACAUGGCAGUUCAGCUUUAGUUUGAGUGCAUGCGGAGGAAGACCAUUGGGAGUCAAUCCGUUUAGAAACUCAGGAGCGUAGUAGCCAUAUGGGUCGUCCUCCGCACUAUCAAAGCUAUGGUAGAUUACUUCAUCUCCUUGGAAACGCUCUAUCAUGCGGAUGUUUAUAUUGUCGACGUUGUCAUUUGUCGUGGAAAGGAUUGCGUGAGAUGUCAUGUAACUCGAAUUUGCCAUGUUGUCAUCUAGACUUGGAAACACGUGGUCAAUCAGAUUCUCCAGGUCGUCAACCUCGCUUGUAGAUGGCAGACAAAUAUCAUCAGGGAGUAGUAUGUUGCCUUGGUCGUCGGCUUCCUCAGUGCCAUUACCGACCCUGAGCAAGUAAUCUGCAAACCACGUGUCAUUACCAGCCCUCAUGUUGGUGAUGAGCCGAAGCUGCCGCAUACUCUUCCAAAGAUGAGAACUUCGGAGGCUUGCAUCAAUUAUCUGGCCCUGUGACCCCCUUCUGACAACCGGAAGCACCUGCCUAAAGUCCCCGCCAAAAACAACAGUCUUUCCUCCAAAGGGUCGGUCGCGUAUUCCCAUGAUGUCGCGCAUGCUAUUGUCUAAUGCCUCAACCGCUUGUCGCUUAGUCAUGCUGGCCUCAUCCCAUAGUAUCAAUGAGGCCAUCCUUAGCAGCUUGGCAGUCCCACUCAGCUUGGUGAAGCUGCACGACGCUCCAUCAUCGCAACUCAGUGGGAUUUUGAACCUUGAGUGGGCAGUCCUGCCGCCAGGCAUGAUAGAAGCAGCGACACCCGACGUCGCGGUAGCGAUAGCAAUCUUGCCCUCGUGCCUCACCUUGGCGAGCAUCGCCCUAUAGAGGAAGGUCUUCCCCGUACCUCCAGGGCCAUCAAUAAAGAAUAUACCCCCAUCACCGCGUUGAACAGCCGCUAGUAUUUCGUCGUAUGCAGCCCUUUGCUCAAAAUUCAGGGAAGAUGACAAUUUAGUGUCACUUUCGUUAAACUCAAUAGUUGAUUCCUUGAUGAUCUCUCUGGCCUCGCCCUCGGUUGGGUCAAACGCAUCAUCGAUCGUUGGAAGAGCAAAAUCAAUAAUGUCUUUACCCAUAGACUGCAACAUACCCCUAAUGUCAAGCAACACCAUCUGCUCCACCUCGUUCGGGGACGUGCGUGUCCGACAUAGUCAUCGGACAUAGGCUUGAGGUGUCUAUCCCAUAAACCGCGCAUGUCGCCUGGCUUGCAGUGCACCAAUAUUGUUGCAAAGAGCCUCCUAAGAGAACAUGGCAUAGCCCACUGCUCCGCCUCAGUAAGACAGUCGUCGAGCGUGUUGUCUGCCUCGAUGAGUCCCAACCUUUCAUCGGCCUCUCUAAAGCUCCCACAUACCACGCCGUCGACGGUGAGCAAGUCCUCAAAUGAUGUUUUCCCCGGAACAUGGUUCAACAACACACGAAGGUAGUAUCGCUCCCCCUUGGCAGGAUUGGCAGACACGAUACGACCUAUUUGAAAACGCUCCACCCGCCUCUUCCAGAACUUCUUUUUCUUCUCCCACGUGAAGCUUCUGAGGAAAUCCUUGUACAAUAUAUGCCUUGCCCAAGGGUGUUUUUCGUUUGCCUUGAAAUACUCCGUUAACAUGGAUUUUGAAGCAUUCUCGGAGGAUACAACAUUCUUCAAGUCAGCCUGUGCAUUGAAUGCAACCAUGUGCAUAUUCAGGAGAUGAAGAGGAAACUGCAAGACAGGCGGGUAAUUGGCACAUAGUGGGAAACCAAAUAUCCUCCACAUAGCCUCCGGAGGGGUGACCCAUCUUGCGUCAACGUAUCUCUUGAUCUCAUCAAUGUUACCAUCAGCGUCUGGCUGGUCAAUGCUGAAAGAAGCCUUAUCAUGGCCCUUAUAAAUGUACUUAUAAAUGUAUUUUAUAGCCUUUAUGCUAGAGCAGACCUCGACGUUGAUGUGGCAAUUAAACAUCUGCAGAAAGUAAGGGUUAUAUGGCACAACCCAUCGGUUGUCCAACAUUUUCCCUCGAACCUUAGCGCGUCUACCAUCGUCUCUACGACGAUAAACUGGGUAUGAGUCCUUUCCUUGUAUCGUGUUAUCAUUGAACGGCCGCGGGUAUCUGCACUUGCAUUCAUUAUCUUGCAUGCAAACAUUCUUCGGGUUGAGAGCACCGCAUGGUCCGUGCAUCAUAUGUUUUACCACCAUUGCAUACAAUUCAGGAUACUUCUGCUUGUCUGGGAGCUCUGCGGAAAUGAGUCGGUCAUACUGCUUUGGGACAAGAAGCUUAUAAUUUGAAUCCAUGAUCAACAAAAAAUGUGCGUGGGGGAGGCCUCUCUUCUGGAACUCGACUACGUAAACAUAAGCAACAACAACACCCAGGACCAUCUUCUUGAGCAACAUAUCUUUCAUAGCCUCCAGUUUGCCAUAGAACACGCGAGCCACAAUAUCAGGUCGGUCUUGCGCCGUCUGUCUGGGAAGCAACUCAUUUGUUAUAUCUUCCCAUUUAGGGUUGCAAGUCAUGGUCAAGAAGAUGUCAGGCUUCCCGUAUGUAUGGACAAUUGCCAUGGCAUCCAUAUGUCUCUUCUUCAUGUCGCGGUCGCCACCAGGGUAAGUUCCAGGGAGAACUAUUCUCACUCCAACAGCGCUUGCUCGUGUCUCCCCCGAUGUUAUCGCAUCAACAACUCCUUUAUACAAAUCGGCACGGAUCUGUGUCUGGUUCUUCCUGUACCACCUCAACCGACAGCUCUCAAUCUUGAUGUACAUGUCAACCGCCCAUUUGCUGCAGUAGGCAUGCUCCACAGAGUAUUGGAUCGAAGAUCACAUGCCUUGUUUGCAGCAUGUAACAGUAGUAGUCUCUAACGGAGACGCAUAACCUGCUAUUCCCCUCUGCACACAUUUGAUUCAGAUCGCGUGAGCAUUAUUUUUAAAAACAAGAAAUUAUUUGAAACAAAGUGGGACACAAAAUGACAUACCUGCAUCAUCCUCAUCAUCAUGACACAAACGAGGAUUUUGUACAACCUCCCAAUGAACAUUAUGUUUGGGUAGCUUCGGAUGCCAACCUAGCUCCCCCAUUGGAUAGAAUAAUGGAUAAGACAAUGGGUCGUAUGCCCCUGAGGUCACACGUAUACUAUGCCUUUUGUUGUUGUUACCACAAAGUGUUAUCCUGCGGUCAAACCUUUUUGCUAGGUCAGUGCCCUCAACCCAAAUUGCAGCGACCUCAGAUGACACCGGUCUAUUAUAUCUUGUUUGGUCAAGCCUCUUAUCGGUGUUUAGGUCUAUCCUAUAAUCAUCGAGGUUGUCCUUGUGUGCACCCAAACUCCUAAAUUGCUGGGAGUAUGGGUUUUCUUUGAGUAUGUCUACUAACCUCUUCACGACAUCCUGGUCUAAUUGCUUGGUGGCCGCCUUACGAUGAUCUAGGUUAGGGUGGUCGUCAUAGAUGUUCUGGAUGUGAGCUAGGCCCGAACGAAUGGACAUUGUGGUAGAUGGUGCUGUGAGCUCGGAAUGUGUACACCCCAGACCUCAUGUUUGUAUAGUUUUCAUCAAGGCUGACACCAAGGGUUGUGAAGGCGAAAUGCCCGUUGAAGAACCUUAUGUUCUCCCGAAAAUGUCUAGAAUCUGCAUCCAUGCUGGACCAUAGCCUCAUAAGCUCCGGGAUUGGUUCCGGUUGCUUAAGAUGGAUCUGGCCAUUGCGACAGCAGAAGCCGUCAGUCUCAGACUCAAACUUCCUGGCCUUACAGUGUUUGCAAUUUUCGUCGAGUUUCAGGACGUGAGUGCUGUCUGGAAUGUUUGAGUAGACAGUGUCAAAUGGAUCAAUCUCGCUAAGUUUAUCGGUAGACUUGCUCGCUUCCUCAUCAUCAUCCAAUAUGUCAUUAUCGGGUCCUACGGGGAUUUGUUGAAAAAUCACAUACAAUUCACUAACAACAAAUAAAUGAGACAACAAUAGAGCUCCAAAGUGUCAUAGUGUAGGGUUUGCAAUACCUUCAUUGCAAAACAUGUAGUACUCCUCAUCAAUCAAUUCAUGUGCUUCCUGCUCAUGGCGCAUGGUGGCGCUUUGGAAAACAUCGAUGUCUUCUGGAUUGUCGUCGUACAGAAAGCGACAACAGACACAAUCAUGUUAGAACGACAUGCUGAGAAUGAGCAUAAGAAACUGACAAUCGCAAAUUCAUACCAUUGGCACCGACAGAGUAUCUCGGCAUGUUCGUCCCCGGAUCACCAUCAGAUGAAUCAUCUUUUGUGGCCCGCGAGACGGGUGAUGCGCGGCUUGGGCAUGUGGGACAUUCAGAGUCUGAGUUUGCUAGGUCUGUAAGGGGGAUUGCGAUGCAUUCUUUGCACGGUGUUUUUUUCCUUCGGUCAUAAUUGGCCUUCCUCUGUGCAGUUGACUCCCCCUUCUCAUUCACCGACAUGCUUUUGCGGCGUUGCACGCUCCUCUCGCAUCUUUUUUCGUUCAUUGUUUCUCUGACCUCCACCUUAAUUCGUCACUUCUCUUCUGAUGGCAUGCUCUGCUCCUUGAGUUUUUCACCUCCCUUUGAUCAUUUGUUAAAUUACAUUUCUGCUCAUUGUCAGUUUGCCUCCUAGCUAGAAUAGUGUCCUGAAUGACAGACCCGUGUAAAGUUGAAGGUGGACAUGUUGCUCCCUCUUUCAUUAAUUUUGUAACGCUAGGGCUAUUUCGGUCGUCUGGAUCAAAAAUAAGUUCAAAUCAUAUUUAGAACAUUUUGAUUUCUCGGCUUUGGAGGAGUCACAUCUAGAAUAUCAGGGCCUGCCAUAGAAAUGGAUAUUGAACGUAAGCGCAUACCUGAAGUACCAGAUGCAUGUUUGUAAUGAUCUUGGAUACGCUUAUCCUUGUUCCUCCAAUAAGCAGCUCGCCGCAGGGCGUUUCUAUGGUCUCUCUUGCGUUCUUCUUCUGGUUUUUCCUCUGUUUCUUGUAUGUCAUUCAAGAUCCCAUCUGGAGCCAUUACAAACAUUCCCGAAAAAAAAUCAUGGAACUAAGAUGCAAGAAUUUCUAUUAUAGGGGAACAAAAUUAGAAUACCUUGUAGCUCUAUGUCAUUAACGAUCCCAGUCGAGACCUCCGUUGUAUCAGGAAAUGCUGACGCAUCAUCCGAGAAUGAUGUAUAGUUAGAGCUAGUGGGGUUACCUUCCAUACAAAAGUUGUCCAGACAUAUUAUUGCGUAUUUAUUAAAACGGUCCUUACCAUAAUGGUUAAAUCAUUAAAAGCUUACCUGAUAAAUGAAGGGUCUGUGCAUGUUCAACUUGUACGUUAUAUUGUUUCUUCCGCCGAUAGGAAGCCCUCCUCAGGGCGUUAUGGUCUCUCUUGCGUUCUUCUUCCGUUUUAAGCUCUAUUUCUGGGGUGUCUUUCAAGAUUACAUUCCCGAAAAUUACAGAAUAAAACAGAUACGCCCACGAAAUUGGUGGAUGAGUAGGCACAAUAUGAUUACCUUGAUGCUCGUUGUCAUAUAUGAAUCCAGAUGAGACCGUAUUUGAACACGGAAAUGUCUCUGAGCUGGUUGGGUUGUCUGCUGAACCAGAUUUGACCAAACAUAUUUAUGCGAAGUGGUUAAGACAAUACCGACUAUAAUGUUCAAAAGAUUUUAAACCAUACCUGUUAAAACAAGGGUCUGUGCAAUUUCAUCUCGGACAUUAGGUUGUUUUUUCCGCCGAUAUGAAGCCCUUCUCGGUGUGUUUCUAUGGUCUCUCUUGCAUUCUUCUUCCGUUCUAUGCUCUGUUUCUUGGGUGUAAUUCUGGAUUCCAUUUGCAUCUGAUGUCAUUAAGUGCAAACACAGUAAUUAGAGAAUAGAACAGAAACAUGUCAGUAAUUUGUUGAAUGAGUAGGCAAAAUAUAAUUACCUCGAAUUUCAUUUUCAUUAAUGAGACCAGAUGUGGACGUAGUUGUAAUAGAAAAUGUUGACACAUCAUGCGAGAAUGCUGUAUAGUUAGAGCUAGCUGGGUUGUCUGGUGAACAAAAUUUGUCUAAACACAUGUCAGCUAAAUGGAUUUGACAUACCGAAUAUCAUGGUUACUACUCUUUAAGCUUACCUGAUGAAUGAAGGGCAAGUGCAUUUUCAUCUUGCACAUAGGUUGUUUUUCCCGCAUACAGGAAGCACUUUCCAGUGCACUUGUUUGGUCUAUUUUGCAAUAAUAUUCUUGAAUUCGCGUAAUUUCUAUGAUGAAAUUAAAGUCACAUAAUGAUGACAUUCAUGUAGUUAUCUUUAAAUCGAAAUGAGAAAACACAACUUGACAGAAUAUCUCCAAAGGAUAAACCACAACCAUGGAGAUGGUGAGAUCAUAUUACCUUCUUUAUCUCCAACACAAAGGACAUCCGAUGUGACCAUCGCAGUAUCCGGGUAUGAUUUAUCGUUAGGCGAGACUAAUGUGUAGUCCGAGCUAGCUGAAUUAUAUGAUUCAACAAGCUUGGUCAGUACUUAUUUAAAUUACGUAAUAAGUGUCUAACUUCAUGCGACCAAAACACAUACGGGACGUGGAUCAAUUUACUAACCAUGAAAAUCUCGUGUGGAUUUAGUUCUCUCCCUAUCUUCGAGAACAUUUGUGAUAUCACAUAGAGACUGGCGAUGGGCAGACUUCCCAUUGACUUGUUGGUUACCCAAACCAUCUACAUGUUAUUGCCAUAAACAGCCCGCCUACAAGCGUUGAUAAGAUCCCUAUGAUCUAAUAAGCAACACAGAAUGAGCAUCAUAUAAUCUCUUACCAGGGAUAUAAGCACAAUAUUAUCUACUAAGCAACAUACGUAUGCACUACAAACUAAGAGUAUCCAUCAACCAUACCAGAUUUUGCAAGUACCGGCUGAUUCUCAUUUUGAAAGCUGAUAAUAUCCUCGUUUCGAUUAAUCCGAUAAGCUGCACAUUUCCUUGCAUUGUACUGCUCCCUUGCAUUUUCCGCAUAAUUUUUGCAUUCAUUAUUUAAUGAUACAGUUUCAUGCUGUUCGGAAGCUGUGUCGUCUGAAUUUAUAAAUACAAAUAAAAAAGCAAAUAAAACGACGGUUGGGAAGGUGGAUAUCAUGCCUAUGGAUACCUUUUGUAUUAUCUCGUAGCUGCAUCUUAUGAAUAGCAUGAUCGAGUGUUAGGUUAGCCGUAGCUGCAAAUGUUUGACCAUCAUCAUGGUACCCAGGUCUUACCCAUUCCGAUCCAUCUGAAGAGUUUAGUAAGCAUGAAUACAAAUUCAAAUAUUUGACUGGUAUGCACGCAAUCAAUCAUGUACCUGUCUUCGUCGUGUAAAAAGGAUCAACAUUUGCAGCUAUGGUUAUGAUGCUUGGAUUACCAUCUUUCAGUUUUGUACCGCUCGUAGGUGCUACAAGACAUUAAGCAUGGUACAAGUCAUUGUUAGACUUGCACAUCAGGCAUCACAUCACAGUAUUUUUCACACUUUAUAUACCGAGUUCAGUUGUGCAAAUAGUUUGUACUUGUUCAUCAACGGGCAUCAAGGUUGCAUUGUAUUCUUCAUCAUUUUUACGCUCGUCUGAUCUGCAACACAUUAUGCAAAAAGCUUAAUUUUAGCAGAAAUGCAAGUAUUCCUAGUACAGUGAACACUACCUGUAGCUACGUCGUCUUCUUGUUGAUGUUCACCGGCUUUGCUUUUUGCAUUACCCAUUCGCAAAUGAAAUGACCGCUACCUCCGAUGUUUCUGUGCCUGUGGUGUUUUUGAGGCCUGGGAGAAACAUAAAAGCUACAAUCAUCGAAUGGAUAUAAUAGAUGCAAGAUGAAAGCAAGAGAGAUGGCGAACUUGAAGGCAUGAAUAAGAAGGUACUUUAAUUCAAAGCAUUCACAGCUUACCAUUGAGUUCCUCGACUUUAUUCUAUCUUGAACUUUAAGCACAACUUGCUUAUGCACAUUCUCAUAGUUUUUCAUUUAAAACAAUUCAAUUAUGAUAAUCUAAACACAUAUCACAUUCAGCAAAAGGCACAUGUUGAUGAUAAACCAACACCAAUUCAAUUAUGCAUAGUUUUGAGCGUCAUAUCAGAUAAAUGAUAUCCUUUUCAUUUCCAUAGUUCUGAGCGAAUGUGUAAUGGUUAUUCAAUGAUCACCAGUCUUUUCAUUCCUUGCAAUGCCAAUUGGUGCUGGUUUUCGUUCUUACCGGUCCUUUCUUAAAUUACGUAGUAAUGCAUCUUGGUCAGGCCAGCCCUCCACCUUUUGUGUAAGGAUCAUGGUGCUCACACUGGUCACCGGUUCAUGGUGGGGAUAUUUUGUGGCCAGGCCACGAUAUCGAUUCCGGCUACGGCAAAGUAUCCACUACAAACUGAGGUAUUUCCUUACAUUGCGUCCCCAAGACCAACGCAUAUCAUAAAAAUCAAAGGCUAAAAUUCAUGCUAUAGAUGUAAACUGCUUUAAUUGAUGAUCCUUAGAUGUAAAUGCACCAACAAGGUGAUAGUACAAUUUUGAAUUACGCAACCGAAUUAGGUGAACAAUCUUGAAGAUUAGGGUUUGAGAACGAUAACAUAAUAUGAACCUUAAUCACGAAGAAAAACAUGAAUUUUUUUUAUGUUUUGAACAAGCAGAUAAAUUUCUUAGAUAAAAAUGGUUCUGAUUCUGUACUCUAACCUCACAAACAAGUUAAUCAAGAUAUAUGUGAUGAUCAUUGCCAUAAUACUUGUUGUACUAUUUGAUGCAAAUAAGAUUUCCUAGGCAACAGCUAGGCAACAGGUAUAGUAACACAGUUGUUGUAUGGUGGUUUCUCAUUGUAACAAUAUGUUGGUUUAUGCACCUUCUCAUCUGCAGGGUGACAUGAUAGCUAUUCUCUCCGAUUCGUGACCUGCAGUCUUGUCAUAGUAAAACGAUUUGUGGCUGCCAAGUAUUUUCGAUGGUGUGUGUAUGUGAUGGCUGUGUGUAUGAAACCAUGUAGAAUUAUCUGUUCUGUAUGCGAUGGAUGUAAAUUUCAGAUCUGUUCCGUACGUAGAUGUCAUGGUUUUUGUGUAUGAAAUACGGUGGCGGAUCUAUGAUACCUGGAGGGCGUGUAUCUGGCGGCGGAUCUUGUACGCCGCCGGCGCCACAUCCUGGACCUGUCCAGCGACAGGUCCUAAGGGGGAUCCGCGCCGGAUCCUCGAAGCGACCAGCGGCGGAGCAAUGGAGUCCGACGGUUUUGAUGUGCGAUGAGCGCACAUGGAUGGCGGGGAAGGACCGAUGGGCGGCGGCGGGCGAAGGUGUAAUAUCCCAAAUUUUCAAUUUGGAAUGUUAUACAUUAGAUCAUCAUUCAUAUCAUAUUUUAUUUUGCAUUUUGGUUGAUCCUAGAAAUUCUACGCAACUCAAUGACCCACGGAGAGAGUUGGGGAUUUCGUUAUUUUCAUAUUUGAGUUUUCUCAAAUUUUGAGAAUAUGAUCAUUUGAUUUUAUUUAUUUUAUCAUCAAUUAUUUCUAUUACAAAAAUAUGAGAGAGGGAAUAAAAUGACUUUCCCAAAAUAAAGAAAUAUUGAGGAUUUAAUAAAAAAAUCAAAUAAGAUUUUAUUUCGAAGUUUUUCGGUGUUUUAUUUGAAUUUAGGAAAAAUGUGCAUUUUUCAAAAUUGCAUUUAGGGCCCAAAUAAAUGUUCACCUUGUGCGGCUUGAUUUUAGAAGCCCGUGAAAAUUUAUUUCAGAAUUUUCGGAGUCCGUUUAGUAUUUCUUUUUAUUUUUCUUCCGAGCGGAAUAAUUAAAAAAACCAACCGACUUCGGGCCGUACCCGAGCGGGACAUCGCCCGGGGGCAGCCUUUAAAUAGCGCCGCCCCGAUCCGCCCCAGCCGAUCAGCCCCGCCUCGAUCCACGCGUGCCGCCGGAGCCGCCGCCGCCGACGAUCUCGUCGCCCGAGGCUCGUCGAGCCUCGUUUUCCGUGCCGAAAAAAAGAGAAUUUUUUUUCGGCGUUCGUCGUUUUUCUUUUUCUCGGAUUAAAUCCGCGAUUUUUCUGAUCGCGAUUCCUGAUCCGAUUUUCGUUUUAGUUUAACUUUUCGCUCGUUUAUCAGAAUCAGGCGAUUCAAGCGCCUAGAGUUUCGUCUUGAAACCCUCUAUCCGUUUAACCAACUUAAACAAGUUUUUUCUACUGUAAAAUUUGCCCUAGAUCCAGAUUACUAGAACGAAGUUGUUUUCUUUCGCCGUUGGAUUUUCGUUGCUUCGUUCGAUUUGAUUCUUUUUGCCAACCGGAGUUCUUAAGUUGAAUCUUCUGGUUAGAUCUCUUAUUUGAGUUUUACAUGUGCAUUAGAUGAGUGCUUACUGUAUGCUUGUUUGUUUGUCUGCGAUAGAAUACCCGGAGUGCACCGCCUGUUACUUCGAAUCGUUAGGUUUCGCGGAUCAUCAGCAAGGCAAGUAACACUUUGAUCAUACCUUUUCUACUACCCAGUUUUAUUGCAUUAGAUCAAUCCUCACACAUUGCAUGAUUAGGAUCUAAUUAAAUUGUGGGAUGGGAAGUAGAUGAGGUAGUACCUAUUACCUGUUUAUUAUCAAACCUUUGGGAGUUACUUCUACGUUUGCUUAUUAUGCCAUGCUAUGCUAGUAGACGUGGAUUGGGUGAGUGAAAUCCAUGACAGAUGUGAGAUUGUUAAUUAAUGGUUUAUCUAAGGUGGCAACUUAAACACACAUCUGGGUGGAUUGAGGCACCUGGGUAUUCCAGGACUUGCCUGUUUUCUUUUGGACCGCCACCCAGGCUCAAAGGGAUCAUGAGACUAUUCAUACUAGAAACUUCCGUGUGCAGCCACAAGCUAUUAUGGGCUCUAGCAUAGUUGACUAAGUCAUGCGAACUCUUACAGUGGUAGACUAGCAGAUGUAGGGGAUGUAGGUGGUACGGUCUACCCGAUCGUAAGGUGCUAGCGCUUCUGAAAGACUAUGUCUCGGUCAUCCGUCUUCUCAAACACCAUGUAGUGCAAGAAACCAAGCGAAGGCGACCGAGUCUUGUGGGGAAAAGUGCGCAAACCUCUGCAGAGUGUAAUAAACUAAUCAUGGUUAGCCGUGUCCCCGGUUAUGGACAUCUUGAGUAUCUAGUACUUGGAUUUUCAUGUGAAUCUCAACAUGUUACUCUAAAUUAAUUUUGUUGGGUUAUGUUUAAUGAUGAUGCUUAAUUGGGAUUGAGGAUGCUGUCAACCAUUCUCAAUGUUUAACAACCACCAUGAUAGUAAUUAAAUUUUAUUCCUUUGAAGUAGGGAAAAUUGGCUUUACGCAAAACUGUAACCAUAGAGCUUUCCACCAGCCAAAUAUGCAUAUAGUAUAGCUAUUUCAUUCCAUUACUCUCUAUGUGUUACCUUGCCAGCAUAUUCCAUGUGCUGACCCAUUUCGGGCUGCAAUGUUAAUGUUGCAAACUUUUCAGAUGACGAUUAAGGAGUUUUUAGGUUGUGGUUCUAUACUCAGUGAUGCCAUUGGAGUUGAUGGACUCACUUAUCUUGCAAGCCUUCCGCUGUUAUCGUUAUUAGAUGGCCUUAAGCCAUAUUUAUUGUAAUAAGUUCUCUUUUGAGACACUCGAUGUAAUAAGUGUGUGAUUGCUACUCUGCUAUAAAUCCUCCGAGUACUGUGUGGUGUCAGCAUUACUGAUCCAGGGAUGACACCGGAGCACAGAGAUCAGACUGUUUGACGUCUGGUCGCUAUAGAAGAAGGGCACUGUCGUCGUCUGUUCCUCGCUAGAAGAACACGAGACCUCGCUCGAGGGCACGAUACCGCGAUCGAGUCCGCACAGUGUGCCGUUUUUUUCGCUGGUUAAUUUUCGCCGGUCUGUGGUCAAUGGUUUUUUUCGUUCAUCUCAGUUAAUAAGGACGGGAGUUUGUGCGUGUGCGGGACUGCAUCGCGGGGUUUUAUUUAGUUUUUCGCGGCCGAGAGGGUGGUGGGAAGAAGUACCAUAGAAGUACCAAAAAAGACUGGGUGAGGUGGGAUGAAAAUAAAACCCGGAACGCGACCUACCAACUGAGACAUUAGGAAUAGAGAUAAGGGAGAAGAUACAGUUACCUCAUCAAGUUCUACUUUCCUCCCACUCACUUCUUUCGAGAGAAACUCCUUCUCUAGAAAGGAUCCAUUCUUAGCAACGAAUAUCUUGCCUUCGGAUCUAUGAUAGAAGGUGUACCCAACUGUCUCCUUUGGGUAUCCUAUGAAGACACAUUUCUCCGAUUUGGGUUCGAGCUUAUCAGGUUGAAGCUUUUUCACAUAAGCAUCGCGGCCCCAAACUUUAAGAAAUGACAACUUGGGUUUCUUGCCAAACCACGGUUCAUAUGGUGUCGUCUCAACGGAUUUUGAUGGUGCCCUAUUUAAGGUGAAUGCAGCCGUCUCUAAAGCAUAACCCCAAAAUGACAGCGGUAAAUCAGUAAGAGACAUCAUAGAUCGCACCAUAUCUAAUAAAGUGCGGCUACGACAUUCGGACACACCAUUACGCUGUGGUGUUCCAGGUGGCGUGAGUUGCGAAACUAUUCCACAUUGUUUCAAAGGAAGACCAAACUCGUAACUCAAAUAUUCUCAUCCAUGAUCAGAUCAUAGAAACUUUAUUUUCUUGUUACGAUGAUUUUCCACUUCACUCUGAAAUUCUUUGAACUUUUCAAAUGUUUCAGACUUAUGUUUCAUUAAGUAGAUAUACCCAUGUCUGCUCAAAUCAUCUGUGAAGGUCAGAAAAUAACGAUACCCGCCAUGAGCAUCAACACACUCAUCAGAACGCAUACAUCAGUAUGUAUUAUUUCCAAUAAAUCUGUUGCUCGUUCCAUUGUUCCGGAGAACAGAGUUUUAGUCAUCUUGCCCAUGAGGCAUGGUUCGCAAGCAUCAAGUGAUUCAUAAUCAAGUGAUUCCAAAAGCCCAUCAGCAUGGAGUUUCUUCAUGCGCUUUACACCAAUAUGACCUAAACGGCAGUGCCACAAAUAAGUUGCACUAUCAUUAUUGAACUUAUAUAUUUUGGCUUCAAUACUAUGAAUAUGUGUAUCACUACUAUCAAGAUUUAGUAAAAAUAGGCCACUCAUCAAGGGUGCAGGACCAUAAAAGAUAUCACUCAUAUAAAUAGAACAACCAUUAUUCUCUGAUUUAAAUGAAUAACCGUCUCGCAUCAAACAAGAUCCAGAUAUAAUGUUCAUGUUUAACGCUGGCACCAAAUAACAAUUAUUCAGGUCUAAAACUAAUCUUGAAGGUAGAUGUAGAGGUAGCGCGCCGACGACGAUCACAUCAACUUUGGAACCAUUUCCCAUGCGCAUCGUCACCUCGUCCUUAGCCAAUCUUCACUUAAUCCGUAGCCCCUGUUUCGAGUUGCAAAUAUUAGCAACAGAACUAGUAUCAAAUACCCAGGCUCUACUGCGAGCAUUAGUAAGGUACACAUCAAUAACAUGUAUAUCAAAUAUACCUUUCACUUUGCCAUCCUUCUUAUCCGCCAAAUACUUGGGGCAGUUCCGCUUCCAGUGACCAGUCCCUUUGCAGUAGAAGCACUCAGUCUCAGGCUUAGGUCCAGACUUGGGCUUCUUCACUUGAGUAGCAACUUGCUUGCCGUUCUUCUUGAAGUUCCCCUUCUUCACUUUGCCCUUCUUCUUGAAACUGGUGGUGUUGUUAACCAUCAACGCUUGAUGCUCCUUCUUGAUUUCUACCUCCACAGCCUUUGGCAUCGCGAAGAGCUCGGGAAUUGUCUUAUCCAUCCCUUGCAUAUUAUAGUUCAUCAUGAAGCAUUGGUAGCUUGGUGGCAAUGAUUGAAGAACUCUGUCAAUGACACUAUCAACCAGAAGAUUAACUCCCAGGUGAGUCAAGCGAUUGUGGUACCUAGACAUUCUGAGUAUGUGUUCACUGACAGAACUAUUCUCCUCCAAUUUGCAGCUGUAGAAUUUAUUGGAGACUUCAUAUCUCUCAAUUCGGGCAUUUGCUUGAAAUAUUAGCUUCAACUCUUGGAACAUCUCAUAUGCUACAUGACGUUCAAAAUGUCGUCGAAGUCCCGGUUCUAAGCCAUAAAGCAUGGCACACUGAACUAUCAAGUAGUCAUCAGCUUUGCUCUACCAGGUGUUCAUAACAUCUGGAGUUGCAACUGCAGCGAGUUUGGCACCCAGCGGUGCUUCCAUGACGUAAUUCUUCUGUGUAGCAAUGAGGAUAAUCCUCAAGUUUUGGACCAAGUGCGUGUAGUUGCUACCAUCAUCUUUCAACUUAGCUUUAUCUAGGAACGCAUUAAAAUUCAAUGGAACAACAACACGGGCCAUUUAUCUACAAUAACAUAGACAUGCAAAAUACUAUCAGGUACUAAGUUCAUGAUAUUUUAAAGUUCAAUUAAUCAUAUUACUUAAGAACUCCCACUUAGAUAGACAUCCCUCUAAUCAUCUAAGUGAUCACGUGAUCCAUAUCAACUAAACCAUGUCCGAUCAUCACGUGAGAUGUAGUUUUCAAUGGUGAACAUCACUAUGUUGAUGAUAUCUACUAUAUGGUUCACGCUCGACCUUUCGGUCUCAAUGUUCCGAGGCCAUACCUGCAUAUGCUAGGCUCGUCAUGUUUAACCCGAGUAUUCUGCUUGUGCAAAACUGGCUUGCACCCAUUGUAUGUGAACGUAGAGCUUAUCACACUGAAAGGAUCGAGAAGAGGUGUCUAGGGGGGGGGGUGAAUAAACUCGAAGUAAGAAAAGUUGCAGUUUUUAACUUCUUUAGGUUUAAGUAGAGUUUUAGCACAAGUUUAAACAUUCACAAUACAUAUCAAGCAAGCAUGACAAGAGUAUAUGAGCAGCGGAAAGUAAAACAUGCAAGUUGCAAGAAUGUAAAGGGAUGGGAUUGGAGUGUGCAAACGCAAUUGGAGACACGGAGAUUUUUGGCGUGGUUCCGAUAGGUGGUGCUAUCGUACAUCCACGUUGAUGGAGACUUCAACCCACGAAGGGUAAUGGUUGCGCGAGUCCACGAAGGGCUCCACCCAUGAAGGGUCCACGAAGAAGCAAUCUUGUCUAUCCCACCAUGGUCGUCGCUUAUGCAGGACUUGCCUCACUCGGGUAGAUGUUCACGAAGUAGGCGAUCUCCUUGCCCUUACAAACUCCUUGGUUCAACUCCACAAUCUUGAUGGAGGCUCCCAAGUGACACCUAACUAAUCUAGGAGACACCACUCUCCAAGAGGUAACAAAUGGUGUGUUGAUGAUGAACUGCUUGCUCUUAUGCUUCAAAUGAUAGUCUCCCCAACACUCAACUCUCUCUCACAAGAUUUGGAUUUUGUGGAAAGAUGAUUUGAGUGGAAAGCAACUUGGGGAAGGCUAGAGAACAAGAUUUAUGUGGUUGGAAUGGAAUAUCUUGACCUCAACACAAGUGUAGGUGGUUCUCUCUCAGAAAAUGUAUGUUGUAAGUGUAGGCAUGUUCUGAUGGCUCUCUUCUCGAAUGAAGAGUGGGUGGAGGGGUAUAAAUAGCCUCCACACAAGAUCUAACUGUUACACACAAAUCACCAAACUCGGUGGGACCGAAUCAUGAAACUCGGUGGGACCGAUUUAGUUCGAAAUGUGACCGUUAGGCAUUUCGGUGGGACCGAUAUAAUCGACUCAAUGGGACCAAUGUGCUUGGUUUGUCCGAUUACACAAACUCGGUGGGACCGAUUUGGGUAAUAAGCAAAACAGAGAGUUGGCCAAGCAAACUCGGUGGGACCGAUUGCAUGUCUCCGUGGGACCGAAAUUAUUGCAAUAGGCAACAUAGAGUUUGCAGGCCCAUCUCGGUGAGACCGAGAUCCCAUCAGUGAGACCGAAUUGAUUAGGGUUUCUGGUAGUGGCUAUGUCAACUGAACUCGGUGGCACCGGAUAGAAAGUUUUGGUGGGGCGGAGUUUGACUUUUGGUUUGGGACAUAUGUGGAUAUGAGAAAGUGGUUGAGGGCUUUGGAGCAUAUCACUAAGCACUUUGAGCAAGCAAGCCAUUGAGCACACCUCAUCCCCUCUUAAUAGUAUUGGCUUUCCUAUGGAAUCAAGGUGAUCUUGGAUCACUAAAAUAAAAUGUAGAGUCCUGAGCUUUGAGCUUGAGCCAAUCCUUUGUCCUCAGCAUCUUGAAGGGGUUCCACAUCCUCUAGUCCAUGCCACUCCAUUGUUGAACUUAUCUGAAACAUACUAGGUAGAAGCAUUAGUCCAACAAGAGAUAUGUUGGCAUUAAUUACCAAAAUCACCUAGGGAGCACUUGUGCUUUCAUACACCCGAUCAUCACAUGGUGUCUCGGCACGACGAACUGUAGCAACGGUGCAUACUCAGGGAGAACACUUAUACCUUGAAAUUUAGUGAGAAAUCAUCUUAUAAUGCUACCGCUGUACUAAGCAAAAUAAGAUGCAUAAAGGAUAAACAUCACAUGCAAUCAAUAGAAGUGAUAUGAUAUGGCCAUCAUCAUCUUGUGCCUUUGAUCUCCAUCUCCAAAGUACGGUCAUGAUCACCAUCGUUACCGGCUUGACACCUUGAUCUCCAUCGUAGCAUCGUUGUCGUCUCGCCAACUAUUGCUUCUACGACUAUCGCUACCGCUUAGUGAUAAAGUAAAGCAAUUACACGGCGAUUGAAUUUCAUACAAUAAAGCGACAACCAUAUGGCUCUUGCCAGUUGCCGAUAACUAUGUUACAAAACAUGAUAAUCUCAUACAACAAUUUAUAUAAUCACGUCUUGACCAUAUCACAUCACAACAUGCCCUACAAAAACAAGUUAGACGUCCUCUACUUUGUUGUUGUAAGUUUACGUGGCUGCUACGGGCUUCUGGCAAGAACCGUUCUUACCUACGCAUCAAAACCACAACGUGGUAUAGUGAUUUCUUAUUGAUCUUCAGAAAGAACCCUGUUCAUUGAAUCCGAUUCAACUAGAGUUGGAGAAACUGACACCCGCUGGCCACCUGUGUGCAAAGCACGUCGGUAGAACCAGUCUCAUGAACGCGGUCAUGUAAUGUCGGUCUGGGCCGCUUCAUCCAACAAUACCGCCGAAUCAAGAAACAACUAGUGGCGGCAAGCAAUAUGUAUAUACCCACACCCACAACUCCUUUGUGUUCUACUCGUGCAUAUAACAUCUACGCAUAGACCUGACUCUGAUACCACUGUUGGGGAACUUAGUAUUUCAAAAAAAUUCCUACGAUCACGCAAGAUCUAUCUAGGAGAAGCAUAGCAACGAGCGGGGAGAGUGUGUCCACAUACCCUCGUAGACCGAAAGCGGAAGUGUUAAGUAACGCGGUUGAUGUAGUCGAACAUCUUCGCGAUCCAACCGAUCAAGUACCGAACGCACGACACCUCCGUGAUCUGCACACUUCAACUCACUGACGUCCCUCGAACUCUAGAUCCAGCUGAGGCUGAGGGAGAUUUUCGUCAGCACGAUGGCGCAUUGACGGUGAUGAUGAAGUUACCGACGCAGGGCUUCGCCUAAGCACUACGACAAUAUGACCGAGGUGGAAAUCUUUGGAAGGGGGCACCGCACACGGCUAAGAGAUCAACUUGUGUGUCUAUGGGGUGCCCCUCCCCUGUAUAUAAGGGAGUAGAGGAGGGAGCCGGCCGGUCUCAUAGGGUGCCCCCAAGGGGGGAAUCCUACUCCUACUAGGAGUAGGUUCCCCCCUUUCCUAGUCCAACUAGGAGGGGAAGGAAAGGGAAGAGGGGAAGAAGGAAUGGGGGUCGCCCCCCCUCCCUAAUUCGGAUUGGGCUUGGGGGGGGGGCGCCCCUCCUCUUGGCCGCCUCCUCCUCUCUUCCACUAAAGCCCAUGAAGGCCCAUUAACCCCCCGGGGAUUCUGGUAACCCCCCGAGACUCCGGAAAAUGCCUGAACUUAUCUGAAACCUUUCCGGUGUCCAAACAUAACCUUCCAAUAUAUCAAUCUUCAUGUCUCGACCAUUUCGAGACUCCUUGUCAUGUCCGUGAUCACAUACGGGACUCCGAACAACCUUAGGUACAUCCAAUCACAUAACUCACAAUACAUAUCGCCAUCGAACGUUAAGCGUGCGGACCCUACGGGUUCGAGAACUAUGUAGACAUGACGGAGACUUAUCUCUGGUCAAUAACCAAUAGCGGAACCUGGAUGCUCAUAUUGGUUCCUACAUAUUCUACGAAGAUCUUUAUCGGUCAAACCGCAUAACAACAUACGUUGUUCCCAUUGUCAUCGGUAUGUUGCCCGAGAUUUGUUCCUCGGUAUCAUCAUACAUAGUUCAAUCUCGUUACCGGCAAGUCUCUUUACUCGUUCCGUAAUGCAACAUCCUGCAACUAACUCAUUAGUCACAUUGCUUGCAAGGCUUAUAGUGAUGUGCAUUACCGAGAGGGCCCAGAGAUACCUCUCCGACAAUCGGAGUGACAAAUCCUAAUCUCGAUCUAUGCCAACUCAACAAACACCAUCGAAGACACAUGUAGAGCAUAUUUAUAUAAUCACCUAGUUACGUUGUGACGUUUGAUAGCACACAAAGUGUUCCUCCGGUAUUCGGGAGUUACAUAAUCUCAUAGUCAUAGGAACAUGUAUAAGUUAUGAAGAAAGCAAUAGCAAUAAACUAAACGAUCAUAGUGCUAAGCUAACGGAUGGGUCUUGUCAAUCACAUCAUUCUCUAAUGAUGUGAUCCCGUUCAUCAAAUGACAACUCAUGUAUAUGUCUAGGAAAUUUAACCAUCUUUGAUUAACGAGCUAGUCAAGUAGAGGCAUACUAGUGACACUCUGUUUGUCUAUGUAUUCACACAUGUACUAAGUUUCUGGUUAAUACAAUUCUAGCAUGAAUAAUAAACAUUUAUCAUGAUAUAAGGAAAUAUAAAUAACAACUUUAUUAUUGCCUCUAGGGCAUAUUUCCUUCACAAGUUGGCCAAACAAAACCCAAAUAUCAGAGAAGAUAUACGAGGCUAUAAGCAAUCAUGCAUAUAAGAGAUCAAAGAAACUCAAAUAACUUUCAUGGAUAUAAAAAGAUAGAUCUGAUCAUAAACUCAAAGUUCAUUGAUCCCAACAAACACACCAUAAAAAGAGUUACAUCAUAUGGAUCUCCAAGAGACCAUUGUAUUGAGAAUCAAGAGAGAGAGAGAGAUGAAGCCAUCUAGCUACUAACUACGGACCCGAAGGUCUACAAAGAACUACUCACGCAUCAUCGGAGAAGCACCAAUGGAGGUGGUGAACCCCAUCCGAGAUGGUGUCUAGAUUGGAUCUGGUGGUUCUGGACUCUACAGCGGCUGGAAGAAUAUUUCGUCGACUCCCCUAGGGUGCUGGGAUUUUUGGGGUAUUUAUGGAUUAAAGAUGAUGCCUCCUAUUUUUUCUAGAUUAUAAGAGUAUGGUAGCACCUGAUUUUAUUAUUAAGGAUAAUAAGAAGAUGCUUAAAUAUAGAUUGAUAUUUGAUAAAACUACUAUGAGAUUAUUACCUUGCCUGCUCCCUUUUUGUUUAAUAUAUUUUCAAGCACGUACCUUGUUUUGCCGGAGGCCGUUCAUGCAUACUAGAGCCGGAGCCACCACUUGAUCUUUACCAUCAGUCUGUUUAUCAGUGGGAUCCGGAGGAGAUCGCCAACUAGUGGCUCCCUGAGGACACUCCUCCGUACACCGGAGAGGGCGGCUUCGAGUCGUGCCCAUAGACCAACUUAGGCUAAAAGCCUAAGCUUGGGGGAGUACGUAUUUCUCACCGACAUUACAUUCAUGUCCACACAGUCAUUCCAAUUGUCGGUGCUCAUACCUUUUCAUUGUACUCCGUGGUAGUUUAUUUUCUGUUUUAAGUUUUCUUCUUGCAUGUUUGAAAAACCUUAAUAAAAACCAAAAAAAUUAGUUGUAGCUUUUAGCUAGUUUACUUCCUAUGCCUAUAGUAGUAAUAAUUAAAAGAAAACCCAAAAAGAUUUCUCGUUCUUCUUUUGCUUGUUGGGAGAUUUCCCAUGUAAAUAGUUUUAUUUCCUUUCUUUUCUUUGGGGGUUGAGAGGAGAAGACCAUGAUGAAAAUGUUGAGUGGCUCUCAUAUGCAUUAUUGUUGAUCUAAUCAAGAGCCCAUAUUACCUUGUCUUCUCCCUUAUAUUGAAUGCUUAUAGAUUCCAGCUUAGUCCAAUGCACGUGCACUGUUAUUAUUAUCCACACCGUUCGGUCAUGCAAGUGAAAGGCAAUAAUGACGAUAUAUGAUGGACUGAUUGAGAUGAGAGGAGCUGGUAUGAACUCGACCUAUCCUGUUUUUGUAAAUAUGAUUAGUUCAUCGUUCCUGAUUUAGCCUAUUAUGAAUGAAACAUGUUUGCAAUGACAAUUAGAGAUUAUAGUUGCUCAAGCCAUGCUUAAUUAGCUAGGAGUUUAUAAUGGUUUACCUUGCGUGCCAACAUGCUAUUAAAAUGGUUGUGAUGUGGUAUGAUAGGGUGGUAUCCUCCUUUGAACGAUUCGAGUGGCUUGACUUGGCACAUGUUCACACAUGUAGUUGAAACAAACUCAACAUAGCCUCCACGAUAUUUAUGUUCAUGGUGAAUUAUAUCCUACUCAUGCUUGCACUCAGUGUUGAUUAAUUUAAUGCAUGUUCAUGACUAUUGUCUCUCUCUAGCUGGUCGCUUCCCAGUCUCUUUCUAGCCUUCACUUGUACUAAGCGGGAAUACUGUUUGUGCAUCCACUUCCAUAAAACCCAAAGUUGUUUCAUAUGAGUCCACCAUACCUUAAUGCGGUAUCUACCUGCCGUUCCAAGUAAAUUUGUAUGUGCCAAACUCUAAACCUUGAAAUGAAAUUCUAUUUUGUAUGCUCAAAUUGCUCAUGUAUCAACUAGGACUGUCUAUGUCUUCCAUGCUAUGCGGGUUAUUAUCAAGAGGAGUGGACUCCGCUCCUCACUCACGAGAAAAUGGCUGGUAACAGGGAUGGCCAGUCCCAUGCUUAAAUUAAAAUAAUUGCAAACAAAACUCCCCAAGGAUUGUUGUUAGUUGGAGGCACCCGUUGUUUCGGACAAACCAUGGAUUGAUGUUUGUUGGUGGUAGGGGGAGUAUAAACUUUACCAUUCUAUUUGGGAACCGCCUAUAAUGUGUGUAGCAUGGAAGAUAUCGAGAUCUCUCGGUUGUUAUGUUGACAAUGAAAGUAUACCACUCAAUUAUUUAUCUCUAUUUCAAAAUCGAGCUCUGGCACCUCUACAAAUCCCUGCUUCCCUCUGCGAAGGGCCUAUCUGUUUAAUUUUAUGUUGAUUCAUCAUCCUCUUAUUAAAAAGCACCAGUUGGAGAGCAUCGAUGUCAUGUGCAUGUAUUACUAUUAGUUUACAUUGAGUAUGACUGUGAAUGGAUCUCUUUUACCAUGAAUUACAAUGUUUAGUCCUUGAACUUCAGAGGUGCUCUGCAUUUAUGUUUUGCGGCUCAGAAAGGGCUAGUGAGAUACCAUCUUGUUAUAUCAUAUUAUGAUUGUUUUGAGAAAGUGUUGUCAUCCGAGAUUUAUUAUUAUUGCUCACUAGUUGAUUAUGCCAUUGAUAUGAGUAAACAUGAGACCUAAAUGUUAUUGUGAAUAUGGUUAGUUUAUAAUCUUUGCUGAAAACUUGAAUGCUGGCUUUACAUAUUUACAACAACAAGAUCAAACAGAGUUUGUAAAAUUAUUUCUUUAUCACUUUCAGUUUGUCAACUGAAUUGCUUGAGGACAAGCAAAUGUUUAAGCUUGCGGGAGUUGAUACGUCUCCAUCGUAUCUACUUUUCCAAACACGUUUGACCUUGUUUUGGACUCUAACUUGCAUGAUUUGAAUGGAACUAACCCGGAGUGACGCUGUUUUCAGCAGAAUUGCCAUGGUGUUAUUUUUGUGCAGAAAUAAAAGUUCUCGGAAUGACCUGAAACUUCACGGAGAAUAUUUUUGGAAUAUAUAAAAAAUACUGAUGAAAGAAUCAACGUCAGGGGGCCCACACCUUGUCCACGAGGGUGGGGGCGCGCCCCCUAUCUCGUGGGCCCCCUGAGGCUCCACCUACCUCGACUCCAACUCUAUAUAUUCACGUUCAGGGAGAAAAAACCAAGGAGAAGGAUUCAUCGCGUUUUACGAUACGGAGCCGCCGCCAAGCCCUAAUCUCUCUAGGGAGGGCUGAUCCGGAGUCCGUUCGGGGCUCCGGAGAGGGGAAUCCGUCGCCAUCAUCAUCAUCAACCUUCCUCCAUCACCAAUUUCAUGAUGCUCACCGCCGUGAAUGAGUAAUUCCAUCGUAGGCUUGUUGGACGGUGAUGGGUUGGAUGAGAUUUAUCAUGUAAUCGAGUUAGUUUUGUUAGGGUUUGAUCCCUAGUAUCUAUUAUGUUCUGAGAUUGAUGUUGCUAUGACUUUACUAUGUUUAAUGCUUGUCACUAGGGCCCGAGUGCCAUGAUUUUAGAUCUGAACCUAUCAUGUUUUCAUGCAUAUAUGUGAGUUCUUGAUCCUAUUUUGCAAGUCAAUAGUCACCUACUAUGUGUUAUGAUCCGGUAACCCCGAAGUGACAAUAAUCGGACCACUCCCGGUGAUGACCGCAGUUUGAGGAGUUCAUGUAUUCACUAAGUGUUAAUGCUUUGGUUCGGUACUCUAUUAAAAGGAGGCCUUAAUAUCCCUUAGUUUCCAAUAGGACCCCGCUGCCACAGGAGGGUAGGACAAAAGAUGUCAUGCAAGUUCUUUUCCAUAAGCAUGUAUGACUAUAUUCAGAAUACAUGCCUACAUUACAUUAAUGAACUGGAGCUAGUUCCGUGUCACCCUAUGUUAUAACUGUUGCAUGAGGAAUCGUAUCCGACAUAAUUAUCCAUCACUGAUCCAAUGCCUACGAGCUUUUCACAUAUUGAUCUUUGCUUAGUUACUUUUCCGUUGCUACUAUUAGAAUCACUAUAAAACCAAUACUGUUACUUUUGCCAUCGUUACCGUUACUUCCAUAUUACUUUGCUACUAAAUACUUUGUUGCAGAUAUUAAGUCUUUCAGGUGCUGUUGAAUAGACAACUCAACUGUUAAUACUUGAGAAUAUUCUUUGGCUCUCCUUGUGUCAAAUCAAUAAAUUUGGGUUGAAUACUCUACCCUCGAAAACUGUUGUGAUCCCCUAUAUACUUGUCGGUUAUCAACUGGGGAUGAACAAGUACAAGGUAAGAACAACCUCCUGAGGAGAGGCGUUCUCGAGCUCGAUGAGCUUGUGUGGUUGGGGAUGAUCCGAAUGAUCCGUCCAAGAUCUGUCCUCUCAAGAUCCGUCCUCGAUGAGAUGAGAUCCCCCGUCUAUGGUGGUGGCUAGUCCUAUUUAUAGAGGUCCGGGUCCUCUUCCCAAAUAUUUAGGUGGGAAGGGAUCCCACAAUGGCCAGUUUGAAGGGGGAUAGCUAGUACAAGCUAUCAUGAGAAAAGGUGGUCUUCGCCUGCCAAAGGCUCUGGUGGUGACACUGUCGUGGGAUCCGUGGUGACCUCCGUCCUGCCAUCCUGCUGGUCUUGGUCUCAUUGCACCAAUAUGGAAACCUUUGCCUGAUGCCUCAGGACUCCUCGUCUGCGCCUGCCCCUUUAGCACCAAAGCGGAAACCGGUACUCUACGCGCACUGGCGCCCGCCUGGCCUUGGUCAUCAUAGCUCACGCCAUGGGAACCUCGUGAGGUGCCCCUCGCCUUGAUCUCUCUGCUCCUCACGAGCCAUCCUAGUGAGUCUGCCCCUGAGGAGGUCUUGUGUCGUCCACCUCACGAGGCUUGGCCCCUCACGAGGGUCUUGAGUGUUUGCUGAUGAAGAUGGGCCAUACCAGGCCGCUGGAUGAGCCAUGCCCCGGGCCGCAGGCAGGCAAGUCUGGGUACCCUCGUUCCCAGAACGACGACAAGCAUCCCCAAGCUUAACUCCUACUCGUCCUCGAGUAGGUAAGUGAUAAAAACACAUUUUUUGAUGUGAAAUGCUGCCUAUCAUGUCAUAUCAUAUUCUAUUCUUUAUAGCAUGGACAAUUGGACUUUUAGUUGUUCAAAGCAAUAGUCUAGUUUUGACAUGAUAAUUUAGAUACUCAAGUAUAUCAACAAGCAACCAUGUCUUUCAAAAUAUCAACGCUAAAAUAAGUUAUCCCUAGCCCAUCAUGCUCAAACAUUGAUCCAUUCAUGAAACACACUCGAAUAUUAGCUACACCCAAUACUUAAGUAUGAUCAUAUUGCCUCCUAGUUGGUGCUUUUAUAAGAGAAGAUGGAGACUCAAAAUAAAAAUUGCAUAAAUUAAAAGAAAGGCCCUUCACAGAGGGAAGUAGGGAUUUGUAGUGGUGCCAGAGCUCAAAGCGAAAAACUUAGAGAUAAAAACAUUUUGAGAGGUGUAUCCAUCCCACCAACGAAAACGACUUAGAGUUCCUAAUACUUUCCAUGCAUAGAUAUAUCAUAGGCGAUUCCCAAAUAGAAAAUAAAGUUUAUUCCUUUUUCCACCAUACUUUCACUUUCCAUGGCUAGCCGUAUCCACAGUUGCCCUCCAUUCCAACACUUUCCAAGGAAUUUAUUAUCUUACAACAUAAAGUAAAUUCAUUUUUGCAUUUAGGGUCUGGGCAUCCCUAAUACCUUUGCCUUACUCUCGUGCAAUGACAAGUAAAUAAACAAUCAUCUUGAGAAUAACACAUCUAGCAUGGAAAAUAUUAGCCACCCCUCACCGCUUCGCGAGCGAAACAAACACACAAAAGAGAAGUUUAUUUUGAAAAUUAGAGAUGGCACAUGCAAAUUUGCUUACAAGGCAAAAGAAUACCGCAUAUAGGUAGAUAUAAUGGACUCAUGUGGCAAAACUAGGUUAAAGGUUUUUGGAUGCACAAGUAGUGAUCAUACUUAGUGCAAAAUGAAGGCUAGCAAAAUAUUGGGAAGCGACCAACUAAGAAACGAAUAAUCUCAUAAGCAAGCAUUAAACAUAAAAAACACCGAAUAAUGCACCAUAAGUAGGAUAUAAUUUCAUUGCAUGAGUGUUGACUUCCGUACUUGCAUAGCCUUAACACCAAUAUUCUUACUAAAGCAUAAUUACUCAUCAAGAUGACUCACAUGUCACAUCAUCAUAUCUCAAAACUAUUACUAAGAAUCAAGUUUAUUUUGUCCAAUGAUCUUCAUGAAAGUUUUUAUUAUAUCCUUCUUGGAUAUCUAUCACUUUGGGACUAAUUUUCAUGUGUUGCUUUUGACAAGCUCCAACAAAUAUAAGUGAAGAUCAUGAGCAUAAUAAAUUUUUCUUUCUCUCAAAUUAAUUUAAGUGAAGCAAGAGAGAAUUACUUGAAAAUUUUACUAACUCUCAAAUUAAUCUAAGUGAAGCAAGAGAGCAUUUCUUCAAAAAUACUAAAGCACACCGUGCUCAAAAAGAUAUAAGUGAAGCACUAGAGGAAGUCCAUUGCUCAUAAAAAUUGAAGUGAAGCAUAGAGAGCAAUUUUAACAAGUCAUGACAUAAUUUUGGCUCUCUCAAAUAGGUGUGUCCAGCAAGGAUUGAUGACUUAAAACACAGAAUAAAACAAGCAAAGACUCAUAUCAUACAAGACGCUCCAAGCAAAACACGUAUCAUGUGACGAAUAAAAAUAUAGUUUCAAGUAAAAUACCGAUGAUCGUUGGAAGAAAGCGGGGAUGCCACUCGGGGGCAUCCCCAAGCUUAGUUGGUUGCUCAUUUUUGGAUAAUAGCUUGGGAUGCUGGGGCAUCCGCAAGAUUAGGCUCUUCCAUCCUUCCUUCAUCCAUCGUAAGAUAACCCAAAACUUGAAAACUUCAAUCACACAAAACUCAACAAAACCUUCGUGAGAUCCGUUAAUAUAAGAAUAAUAAAUCACUACUAUAAGUGUUGUAUCAAACCAAUUCAUAUUUUGUCUUUGUAUUAUAUCUAAUGUAUUCCAAAAAUUUUGUGGCAAAAACUCAUCAAAUAAAAACAUAGAGCCAUCAAAAUAAGCACACAACACAAAGAAAACAGAAUCUGUCAAAACAGAACAGUAUGUAGCAAUCUAACUAUUUCGAAUACUUCUGUAACUCCAAAAGUUCUGAAAUAUUAGGAAGGCCUGAGAACUUUGUAUAUUGAUCUAACGCAAGUGGAAUGGGUAUUUUAUCGCUCUCUGGUAAAAGAUGAAAAUUAAUGUCGUGAGCGUAAAAGUUUCUAUUUUUCAGCAAGAUCAAACAACUAUCACCCAAGAAGAUCCUAAAGGCUUUACUUGGCACAAACACUAAUUAAAACAUAAAAAAUACAAUCAUAUUAGUAGCAUAAUUGUGUUAACACACACAAACAGGAAGCAAAAAGCAAAAAUAAAAUUUAUUCGUUGGGUUGCCUCUCAACAAGCGCUAUAGUUUUAUGCCUUAGCUAGGCAUAAAGCAAGGAUCUAAGUUUUGUUAUCUUUGGUUCGAGAUCCAUAAGAUUCCUUCAUGAUUGAUUCAUAAGGUGGAUUAAUUAUUGUUCUAGGAAAGUGUUCCAUACCCUUCCUCAAAGGAAAUUGGAACUUAAUAUUACCUUCUUUCAUAUCAAUCAUGGCACCGAUAGCACGUAAAAACGGUCUACCAAGAAUAAUUGUACAAGACAGAUUGCAAUCAAUAUCAAGAAAAAUAAAAUCUAUGGGCACAUAAUUCCUAUUUGCAAGAAUAAGAUCAUCAUUAAUUCUUCCCAUAGGCUUUUUAAUAGCAGAAUCUGCCAAGUGCAAAUUCAAAGAACAUUCUUCAAGAUUAGUAAGACUAAGCACAUCACAUAAAGAUUUCGGAAUUGUAGAAACACUAGCACCCAAGUCACACAAAGCAAAACACUCAUAAUUUUUAAUCUUGACUUUGAUAGUAGGUUCCAAUUCAUCAUGCAAUUUCCUAGGAAUUGAAACUUCCAAUUCCAAUUUUUCUUCAAGAGCUUUCAUCAUAGCAUCAACAAUAUGUUUAGUAAAAGCUUUAUUUUGUUCAUAAGAUGGGGUGAAUUUAUAAUGGAUUUCAACAAAGAAAUAAAAUCAAUCAAAGAGCAACUAUCAUAAUUAAAGUCUUUAUAAUCCAAAAGAGUGAGUACAUCACUAGCUAAAGUUUUGACCUCUCCAAACCCACUUUCAUCAAUUUUCUCAACAAGAUUUUCACCCUCUGAAAUAUUGAGACGCCUUCUACCUAAAGUUGACUCUUCUCCAGUCCCUUUUUCAUCAAUAUUAACUUUACUAAACAAGGAAUCAAUAGAAGAAACACCAAUCAUUUUAAGAUCUUCAUCACUUUUGCAAAACAAAUCGCUAGAAAACGCUUUUUCUAAAAAUUCUCUUUUAGCUCUAAGCAUAGCGGUUCUUUUCUUAUUUUCAUCCAUAGAAACAUAAAGAGCUUUAAUCGAUUCAUCAAAAUUAGGCACAAAAAAUUUCAUCUUGAGAUUUUCCACAUCAUGAGAAAUUCUAUCAACACUUCUAGACAAAUCAUCAAUCUUACUCAACUUUUCUUCUAUGGAAGUGUUGAAAACUUUUUGUGUAUUGAUAAAUUCUUUAAUAUUAUUCUCAAGAUCAAAGGUGUUCCUAUUAUUAUUAUAAGAUUGACUUCCAUAGGAAUUACCAUAAUUAUUAGAGGAAUUACCAGGAAAAGGCCUAGGAUUAAAAUUACGUCUAUAAGCAUUGUUGUUGAAAUUAUUUCGAGAGAUAAAAUUCACAUCUAUGGCAUCACUAUUUUGCUCAAUCAAAGUAGACAAAGGCAUAUCAUUAAGAUCAAUAGGAACAUUUCUACUAGCAACCAAUUUCACAAGAGCAUCAACUUUUUCAGUCAAAGAAGAAAUUUCUUCAAUUGAAUUAAUGUUUUUACUAGUAGGAGCUCUCUUAGUAUGCCAUUGCGAAUAAUUUGCCAUAAUAUUAUCAUGAAAUUUGGUGGCUUCACCCAAAGUAAUUUCCAUAAAAGUACCACCCGCGGCGGAAUCUAAAAGAUUACGAGAAACAAAAUUCAACCCCGCAUAAAAAUUUUGUAUGAUCAUCCAAAGAUUUAACCCAUGAGUUGGGCAAUUCCUUAGCAUCAUUUUCAUCCUUUCCCAAGAUUGUGCAAUAUGCUCAUGUUCAAGUUGCUUGAAAUUCAUGAUCUGGGUUCUAAGGGAAAUAAUUUUUGCGGUAGGAAAAUACUUAGUGAUAAAAGCAUCUUUGCACUUAUUCCAAGAAUCGAUACUAUUGCGAGGCAAAGAAGAGAACCAAUUUUUUGCAGAAUCACACAAAAAAAA
rnacentral:lncRNA from 1 species